CAGGGCUUUGAACAUCUCAGAAUUUCAUCUGCAUUUCAUCACAUCCAUUAGGGUUGGAAGUGCUUACCGGCUAUUCAUGCCUCUAGACUAUCAGGUGAUUGAGCUAGUGUUAUACUAAUAUGUGGAUAAAACAAAACAGUGAAGGAUUUUCUCAAUGUUUUGCUGGGUGGUUAGCAACAUAGGAAGAUCCUCAAAAAUCAUGUACAUAUUGGUGAGUGGUUUGCAGAAAUUCCACAAUAGAGAGACACCCCCAAUUCUUAUCCGGGCCAUGUUAGCUUCUUAAUUCAUUUACAAUUCUUAUGAUUUCUCUGCAGUAGAAGAUUCAUGGCUCUUGCAAUCUCGCUAGGUAUUCUUAAUUCACAAACGUUUUAGGCUAGAGCUAGUUGGAAAUUUAGUGUAUUUCCUCAACAGCUUGGUAAGUAAAAGGGUAGGAAAAUUAAGUGUUUGUCAUCUCCAUAUGCCUUGUAUCUUAGUUCCAUGUCGAAUAGUUUCUCACUGUUUAUAUUAAAGAACACCACCCAAUGGUUUGUCCCUUUGAUGGAUGGGAUUCCUUUAACUAUGAUGCAUAUUGUGUGGAACUAGAGAAACAUAACUGAGAGGUUAACAUGAAAUCAUUAGUAUAUAAAAAUUUAAAUUUCAAAUGGAUUUUUGUAUUAUUUAUGCACUUUUCAAGUGUUUCUUCUCAGAAAUUUGAGAGAAGGAGAAAAACAAAAGAGGAGCAAUCUAAGGAGAUCCAAAUUUUGUUUUGGAGACAAGAAGGAAAGGAAGAAGCAGAUAAGCAAUAAAUAAGAAGAUGAAGAGGUAAUAUACAAUAUACUUUGGUUUGUUUUCUAAAGAUUUCACGGGAUGUGUCAAUGACACUAUCUGGAAGAUUCUCAUAUGCUCUUUUUGUUUUUAAUCCAAAACUGGUAAUCCUUAAUGACUUUGUGGAGUGAUUAAGUACAUAUCAGCAGCGUGUUAAGCAAAAGUUAUGAGUUGAUUUUUUUGUUUGUUAUAAUCAUUCUACUGCUAUUUAACCAAAUCCUAUUAGCCAUAUAAUUUUAAUGAUUUUUGUACAAUGAAGUAUAGAAAGACAUACAAUUGUGCCAAUAAAAACAAAUCAGGCUGCAUUCAAUUCCUGGUGUCAAUGAAUUACUAGAACCUUGUUUAUCUUCUUGUUUUUAUGCUUCCCCACAUGCACUUUUGCAUUCUCUCUAGUUGGAGAAUAUGUGCACAUCAGCAUGGUUUGUAAGCUUUUAAGGAAGAAUAGGACAGAACGAAUAUAGGUGUAUAUUUGCAAAUUCCAAUGCAAGCUUGAUAAGUAAGCUCUCAAAGUUAUUGUAUGCUAUCUUUAUCAUUUUUAUUUAAAAAUUGUAUGUACAUUUGAAAGCAUACUAUGCAUCUAUUUUACUGUUGAGGUUUAUAACUAUAUUUUGGUCUAAGUCUCAUGUGGCUAAUGUCUUGUAUUAGUGGUUCAAUAGUAAUUGAUGUUGUCUGGCUUAGCUCGUAGGAGUAUAUAAUAUGUGGGUUUAAGUUACAGUAAUAGAUAAUCUUGAUCAUUGAAGAUAAUUCUUUUUUAAAUUCUUUAAGUUAGAGAAUUGGUUUUCCACCAAACUUGAUUUAUUUUAUUGACAUUGCCAACAUACUUACAAAAAUCAUAUAAAAAAUGUUAAUAAAGAUUGAUCUUGUUGGUAAGAAUUUAAUGUAUUUUGUUGCUGAUGUGAAGUUUGUUUUGGUAGAAAAUUCUUGAGGUUUCUUUGAUACUUGUGAUAUUUUUGAAUUUAACUUGUCUAAACUUUUUUCUCACAAAAGAAAAUCAUACCACAAUGGCCUAUUAUAUUAGUUUAAAAACAUAACAGUUUCUUCUCUUACGUUCUCAAAUAACACAUCUGAAUUAGUCAAUUUAAACGUAUAUUUAAACAAAAAUAACACAUCCGGAUUGGUGAAUCCAGACAAACAUAGAAAAAUAAAUUUUAUUAAAAAUGGUCAGUAAAAGUAGGGUUGUGCAUGGUUGUUUUUUUUUUUAAACCAAAUCAUAUUGAUUUUAAAAUCAAUAUAUGGAUUUAGAUUUAUAACCAAAUCUAUUAUUUGGUUUAAAACCGGUUAUAAAACCACUUGUAAAACUGGUUAUGGUUAAAUAACCGGUUUUUAAUUAAUCAAUCGAUUUUGAAAAAUUCAAUUUUAAAAUCGGUUUUUAUUUUUUUUCGAUUUUAUUUAUAAAAUAUUCCGAUAAAAUUUUUUUGAUAAAAAAUAAUUUAUAAUUAUUUUAAUUCAAGAAAAAAAUUUGAUUUUUUCGAUAAAUUAUUUUAGGUUAUUUUCACCCCCCUUAGGCUUAUUCUUGUCCAUUUAGGGUUUUGAACAAAUCUUGUGCAUCCAACAAGUUCAUUUAUGUCUUUGGACUAACAUUUAUGUCAUUUUCAUCCUACCUAGGUUUAUUCUAGUCCAACUAGUGUUUUUAACCUAUCAUAUGCAUCAAAUAUGUUUGUUUGUGCCAUUGAAGUAACAUUUAGGUCAUUUCUGUCAUCCCUAUGCUUAUUGUAAUCUAUUUAGGGGUUUUAACCAAUCUUGUGCAUCAAAUAUUUUUGUUUGUGCCAUUGGAUUAAGAUUUAAGUCAUUUUCGUCCUAUCUAGGCUUAUUCUAGUUAAAUUAGGGUUUUAAACCAAUCUUGGGUAUCAAAUAUGUUUGUUCGUGUCAUUGGAUUAACAUUUUGGUCAUAUUCGUCCUCCCUAUGCUAAUUCUAGUCCAUUUAUAGUUUUUAACCAAUCUAGUCCAAUUAGGGUUUUUAACCAAUCUUGUGCAUUUGUGCUAUUGGAUUAACAUUUAUGUCAUUUUUGUCCUACUUAGGCAUAUCCUAGUCCAAUUAGGGUUUUAAACCAAUCUUGUGUAUCAAAUAUGUUUGUUUAUGUCAUUGGAUUAACAUUUAGGUCAUAUUCGUCCUCCCUAGGCUUAUUCUAAUCCAUUUAGGGUUUUUUUUACCAAUCUUGUGCAUCCAAUAAGUUCAUUUGUGUCAUUGGAUUAACAUUUAGGUCAUUUUCGUCCUCCCUAGACUUAUUCUAGUCCAAUAAGGGUUAUUAACCAAUCUUGUGCAUCCAAUACAUGUGUUUUUGUCAAUUGAUUAACGUUUAGGUCAUUGCUUCCUCCCUAGGCUUAUUCUAUUCCUUCUAGGGUGUUUAACCAAUUUUGUGCAUUCAAUAAGUCCAUUUGUUUAAUUGAAUUAACAUUUAGGGCAUUUUAGUCCUCCCUAGGCUUAUUCUAGUCCAAUUAGCGUUUCUAACCAAUCUUGUGCAUCAAAUAUAUUUGUUUGUGUCUUUGGAUUAAAAUUUAAGUCAUUUUCCUUUUACCUUGUCUUAUUGUACUCUAUUUAAGGUUUAUAACAAUUCUUGUGCAUCAAUAAGUUCAUUUGUGUCAUUGGAUUAACAUUUAUGUCAUUUUAGUCCUCCCUAUGGUUAUUCUAGUGCAAUUAGGGUUUUUAACAAAUUUUGUACAUACAAUAUGUAUGUUUGUGUCAUUUUAUUAACAUUUAGGUCAUUCUCGUCCUCCCUAAGAUUAUUGUAGUCCAUUUAGAGUUUUUAACCAAUCUUGUGCAUCCAAUAAGUUCAUUUGGGUGGAUUAACAUUUAGAUCAUUCUCAUCCUACUUAGGUUUAUUAUAGUCCAAUUAGAAUUUUUGACUAAUCUUGUGUUUCUAAUAUGUGUAUUUGUGUCAAUUGAUUAAAGUUUAGGUCACUUUCAUCCUCAUUAGGCUUAUUCUAGUCUAUUUAGGGUUUUUAACCAAUCUUGGGCGUCCAAUAAGAUCAAUUGUGUCAUUUAAUUAACAAUUAUGUCAUUUUCGUCCUCCACGAUUUAUUCUUAUCCAUUUAGGGUUUUUAACCAACCUUGUGCAUUUAAUAAGUUCAUUUGUGUCGUUGGAUUAACAUUUAGAUCAUUUUCGUCCACCCUAGCAUUAUUCUAGUCCAAUUAGGGAUUUUAACCAAUCGUGUUCGUCCAAUAGGUGUGUUUUUGGAAAUUGAUUUACGUUUAGGUCAUUUUCAUUCUCCUUAGGCUAAUUCUAGUCCAUUUACGGUUUUUAACCAAUCUUGUGCAUCUAAUAAGUUCAUUUGUGUCAUUGAAUUAACAUUUAGGUCAUUUUCGUAGUCCUUAGGCUUAUUUUAGUCCAAUUAGGGUUUUUAACCGAUCUUAUCCAUCAAAUAUGUUUGUUUGUGCAAUUGGAUUAACAUUUAGGUCAUUUUCCUCCUCCCUAGGCUUAUUCUAGUCAGUUUAGUGUUUUUAACAAAUCUUGUGCAUCCUAUAAGUUCAUUUGUAUAAUUGGAUUAACAUUUAGGUCAUUUUCGUCCUCCCUAGGCCUAUUCUAGUUAUUUUUGGGUUUUUAACCAAUCUUUUGCAUCCAACAGGUGUGUUUGUGUCAUUGGAUUAAAAUUUAGGUCAUUUACAUCCUCCCUUGGCUUAUUCUAGUCCAUUUAGGGGUUUAACCAAUCUUGUGCAUCCAAUAAGUUCAUUUCUGUCAUCGAAUUAACAUUUAGGCUUUUGGUCCUCUCUAGGCUUAUUCUAGUCCAACUAGGGUUUUAACCAAUCUUGUGCAUGCAAUAGGUGUGUCUGUGUCAUUGGAUUAACAUUUAGGUCAAUCUAGUCCAAUUAGGGAUUUUAACCCAUCUUGUGCAUCAAGUAUGUUUGUUUGUGCCAUUAGAUUAACAUUUAGGUCAUUUUCAUCCUACCUAGGUUUCUUCUAGUCCAAUUAGGGUUUUUAACCAAUCUUGUGCAUCGAAUAUGUUUGUUUGUGCCAUUGGAUUAAUAUUUAUGUUAUUUUUGUCCUCCCUAGGCCUAUUCUAGUUCAUUUUGAGUUUUUAACCAAUCUUGUGCAUCCAAUUGGUGUGUUUGUGAUUUUGGAUUAACAUUUAGGUCAUUUACGUCCUCCCUAGGCUUAUUAUAGUCCAUUUAAGGUUUUUAACCGCAUCCAAUAAGUUCAUUUGUGUAAUUGGAUUAACAUUUAGGUCAUUUUCGUCCUACUUUGGCUUAUUCUAGUCCAAUUAGGAUUUUUAACCAAUCUUGUGCAUCCAAUUAGGAUUUUUUUCCUCCUUAUGGUUAUUUUAGUUCAUUUAUGGUUUUUAACCAAUCUUGUGCAUCUAAUAGGUGUGUUUGUUUCAUUGGAUUAACAUUUAGGUCAUUUUCAUCCUCCAUUGGCUUAUUCUAGUCGAUUUAGUGUUUUUAAUAAAUCUUGUGCAUCCUAUAUGUGCGUUUGUAUUAUUUGAUUAUUGUUUAGGUCCUUUUUGUCCUCCAUACUCUUAUUCUAGUCCAUUUAUGGUUUUUAACCAAGCUUGUGCUUCCAAUAAGUUAAUUUGUCUCAUUCGAUUAACAUUUAGGCCACUUUCGUCAUCCAUAUGCUUAUUCUAGUAUAUUAGGGUUUUUAACCAAUCUUGUGCAUCCAAUACGUGUGUUUUCGUGUCAUUGUAUAAACAUUUUGGUUAUUUUCAUCCUCCCUAUGCUUUUUCCAGUCCAUUUAGGGUUUUUAAUCAAUCUUGUGCAUUCAAUAAGUUCAUUUAUGUCUUUGGAUUAAAAUUUCCAGUCCAUUUAGGGCAUUUUAGUCCUCCCUAGGCUUAUUCUAGUCCAAUUAGGGUUUUUAACCAAUCUUGUGCAUCAAAUAUAUUUGUUUGUGUCUUUGGAUUAAAAUUUAAGUCAUUUUCCUCUUACCUUGGCUUAUUGUACUCUAUUUAAGGUUUUUAAUAAUUCUUGUGCAUCAAUAAGUUCAUUUGUGUCAUUGGAUUAACAUUUAUGUCAUUUUCGUCCUCCCUAUGGUUAUUCUAGUCCAAUUAGGCUUUUUAACAAAUCUUGUACAUACAAUAUGUAUGUUUGUGUCAUUUUAUUAACAUUUAUGUCAUUUUCGUCCUCCCUAAGAUUAUUGUAGUCCAUUUAGGGUUUUUAACCAAUCUUGUGCAUCCAAUAAGUUCAUUUGGGUCAUUGGAUUAACAUUUAGAUCAUUUUCAUCCUACUUAGGUUUAUUAUAGUCCAAUUAGAAUUUUUGACUAAUCUUGUGUUUCUAAUAUGUGUAUUUGUGUCAAUUGAUUAAAGUUUAGGUCACUUUCAUCCUCAUUAGGCUUAUUCUAGUCUAUUUAGAGUUUUUAACCAAUCUUGGGCAUCCAAUAAGAUCAAUUGUGUCAUUUAAUUAACAAUUAUGUCAUUUUCGUCCUCCACGGUUUAUUCUAAUCUAUUUAGAGUUUUUAACCAAUCUUGUGCAUUUAAUAUGUUUAUUUGUGUCGUUGGAUUAACAUUUAGAUCAUUAUUCUAGUCCAAUUAGGGAUUUUAACCAAUCGUGUUCUUCCAAUAGGUGUGUUUUUGGAAAUUGAUUUACGUUUAGGUCAUUUUCAUUUUCCCUAGGCUAAUUCUAGUCCAUUUACGAUUUUUAACCAAUCUUGCGCACCAAAUAUGUUUGUUUGUGUCAAUGGAUAAAUAUUUAGGUCAUUUUCGUCUUCCCUAUGCUGAUUCUAAUCCAUUUUGGGGUUUUACCCAAUCUUUUGCCUCCAAUAAGUUCAUUUGUUUCAUUUGAUUAACAUUUAGGUCAUUUUCGUGCUUCCUAGGCUUAUUCUAGUCCAAUAAGGAUAUUUAACCAAUCAUAUGCUUUUAAUACGUGUGUUUUUGUCAAUUGAUUAACGUUUAGGUCAUUUUCGUCCUCCCAAAACUUAUUGUAGUCCAUUUACGUUUUUUAACCAAUCUUGUGCAUCCAAUAAGUUCAUUUGUGUCAUUGGAUUAACAUUUAGCUCGUUUGCGUCCUCCCUAGGUUUAUUCUAAUCCAUUUAAGGUUUUUAACCAAUCUAGUGGAUCAAAUACGUGUGUUUUUGUCAAUUGUUAACGUUUAGGUCAUUUUCGUCCUCCCUAAGCUUAUUGUAGUCCAUUUAGGGUUUUUAUCCAAUCUUGUGCAUCCAAUAAGUUCAUUUGUGUCAUUGGAUUAACAAUUAGGUCAUUUUCGUCCUUCCUAAUCCAUUUAGGGUUUUUAACCAAUAUUGUGGGUCAAAUACGUGUGUUUUUUUGAAUUGAUUAACGUUUAUGUCAUUUUCGUCCUCCCUAUGGUUAUUGUAGUCCAUUUAGGGUUUUUAUCCAUUAUUUUGCGUCGAAUAAGUUCAUUUGUGUCAUUGGAUUAACAUUUAGGUCAUUUUCAUCCUACUUAAGCUUAUUCUAGUACAAUUAAGGUUUUUCACUAAUCUUGUCAUCAAAUACAUGUGUUUGUGUCAAUUAAUUAAAGUUUAGGACAUUUUCAACCUCCCUAGGUAUAUUCCAUUCCAUUUAGGAUUUUUAACGAAUCUUGUGCAUUCAAUAAGUUUAAUUGUUUCCAUUUAGUGUUUUGUCCUCCAUAUGCUUAUUCUAAUCCAUUUAGGGUUUUUAACAAAUGUUGUGCAUUCAAUAGGUUGAUUUGUGUCAUUGGAUUAACAUUAGGGCAUUUUUGUCCUCCCUAGGUUUAUUCUAGUCCAAUUAGGGUUUUUAACCAAUCCUUUGCAACCAAUAUGUGUGUUUGUGUCAAUUGAUUAACGUUUAGGUCAUUUUCAUCCUCCCUAGGCUUAUUCUAGUCCAUUUAGGGUGUUUAACUAAUUUUUUUGCAUCCAAUAAGUUCAUUUGUGUCAUUGAAUUAACAAUUAGGGCAUUUUAGUCCUUCCUAGGCUUAUUUUAGUCCAAUUUGUGUUUUUAACCAAUCUUGUGCAUCAAAUAUGUUAGUUUGUGUCAUUUGAUUAAAAUUUAAGUUAUUUUCGUCUUCCCUAGGCUUAUUCUAUACUAUUUAGGGUUUUUAACAAAUCUUUUACAUCCAAUAAGUUGAUUUGUGUCAUUGGAUUAACAUUAUGUCAUUUUCGUCCUCCCUAAGUUUAUUCUAGUCCAAUUAGGGUUUUUAACAAAUCUUGUGCAUCCAAUACGUAUGUUUGUGUCAUUGGAUAACAUUUACGUCAUUUUCGUCUUCCCUAGGCUUAUUCUAAUCUAUUUAGGAUUUUUAACAAAUGAUGUACAUCCAUAAAGUUGAUUUGUGUCAUUAGAUUAUCAUUAGGUCAUUUUCAUCCUCCAUAGUCUUAUUCUAGUCCAAUUAGGGUUUUUAAAAAAUCUUGUUUAUCCAAUACGUAUGUUUUUGUCAUUGGAUUAACAUUUAGGUCAUUUUCGUCCUCCCUAAGCUUAUUGUAGUACAUUUAGGUUUUUUAAACAAUCUUGUGCAUCCAAUAAAUUUAUUUGUGUCAUUUGACUAAUCUUGUGCAACAAAUACGUGAGUUUGUGUCAACUGAUUAAUGUUAAGGACAUUUUCAUCCUCCCUAGGCUAAUUCCAUUCCAUUUAGGGUUUUUAAUCAAUUUUGUGCAUCCAAUAAGUUGAAUUGUGUUAUUGAAUUAACAAUUAGGGCAUUUUCGUCCUCCAUAGGCUUAUUCUAAUCCAUUUUGGGUUUUGAAAAAAUCUUGUGCAUCCGAUAAGUUAAUUUGUGUCAUUGUAUUAACAUUAGGUCAAUUAUGUCCUCCCUAGGCUUAUUCUAGUCUAUUUAGGGUAUUUAACAUGUUUUUUGCAUCCAAUAAGUUCAUUUGUGUCAUUGAAUUAACAUUUAGGGCAUUUUAGUCCUUCCUAGGCUUAUUCUAGUCCAAUUUGGGUUUUUAACCAAUCUUGUGCAUCAAAUAUGUUUGUUUGUGUAAUUUGAUUAAAAUUUCAGUCAUUUUUUUCUUCCAUAGGCUUAUUCUAAUCUAUUUAGGGUUUUUUUACAAAUCUUUUACAUCCAAUACGUAUGUUUGUGUCAUUGGAUUAACAUUUAGGUCAUUUGUGUCAUUGGAUUAACAGUUAGGUCAUUUUCAACCUACAUAGGCUUAUUCUAGUCAAAUUGGAGUUUUUAACCAAUCUUGUGCAUCAAAUACGUUUUUUUUUGUCAUUGGAUUAAAAUUUAGGUCAUUUUCAUAUUCCCUAGGCUUAUUCUAGUCCAAUUAGGGUUUUAAACCAAUCAUGUGCAUCCAAUAAGUUGAUUUGUGUCAUUCGAUUAACAUUAGGUCUUUUUCGUGCUCCCAAAACUUAUUCUAGUCUAAUUAAGGUUUUUAACCAAUCGUGUGCAUCCAAUACGUAUGUUUGUGUCAUUGGAUUAACAUUUAGGUCAAUUUCGUCCUCCCUAAGCUGAUUCUUGUCCAUUUAGGGUUUUUACCCAAUCUUGUGCAUCUGAUAAGUUAGGUCAUUUUCAUCCUACCUAGGCUUAAUCUAGUCCAAUUAGAGUUUUUGACCAAUCUUGUGCAUCCAAUAUGUGUGUUUCUGUAAAUUGGAUAAACGUUUAGUUCUUUUAAUCGUCACUAUGCUUAUUUUAGUCCAUUUAGACUUUUUAACCAAUAUUGCGCAUCCAAUAAUUUCAUUUCUGUCAAUGGAUUAACAUAUAGGGUAUUUUAGUCCUCCCGAGGCUUAUUCUAGUCCAAUUAUGGUUUAUAACAAAUCUUGUGCGUCCAAUAAGUUGAUAUGUGUCAUUGGAUUAACAAUAGGUCAUUUUCGUCCUCCCUAUGCUUAUUCUAGUCAAAUUAUGGUUUUUAACAAAUCUGGUGUUUCCAAUACGUAUGUUUGUAUCAUUGGAUUAACAUUUAUGUCAUUUUCGUCCUCCCUAAGCUUAUUGUAGUCUAUUUAGGGUUUUUAACCAAGCUUGGGAAUCCAAUAAGUUGAUUUGUGUCAUUGGAUUAACAUUUUGGUUAUAUUCGUCCACCCUAUGCUUAUUCUAAUCCUUUUAGGGUUUUUAACCAAUUUGGUGUUUCCAAUAAAUUCAUUUGUGUCUUUGAAUUAACAUUUAGGUAUUUUUCGUAAUCCCUAGGCUUAUUCUAGUCUUAUUAGUGUGUUUAAUCAAUCUUUUGCAUCAAAAAUGUUUUUAUCUGCCAUUGGAUUAAUAUUUAGGUUAUUUUUGUCCCCUCUAGGUUAAUUCUUGUCCAUUUCGGCAUUUUAACCAAUCUUGUGCAUCCAAAAAGUUCAUUUGUGUCUUUGGAUUAACAUUUAUGUCAUCAUCGUCCUAACUAGGCUUAUUCUAGUCCAAUUAGUGUUUUUAACCUAUCAUGCGCAUCAAAUAUAUUUGUUUGGGUCAUUGCAUUAACAUUUAGAUCAUUUUCGUCCUCCCUGGGCUUAUUCUAGACCAAUUAGAGUUUUUAACAUAUCUUGUGCAUCCAAUACAUGUAUUUGUGUCAAUUGAUUUACGUUUAGGUCAUUUUCAUCCUCCGUAGGUUUAUUCUAGUCCAUUUAGGGUGUUUAACCAAUCUUGUGCAUCCAAUAAGUUCAUUUGUGUCAUUGAAUUAACAAUUACGACAUUUUAGUUCUCCCUAGGCUUAUUCUAAUCCAAUUAGGGUUUUUAACCAAUCUUGUGCAUCAAAUAUGUUUUUCUUUGUCAUUUGGAUUAAAAUUCAAGUAAUUUUCGUCUUUCAUAUGCUUAUUCUAAUCUAUUUAGGGUUUUUAACAAAUCUUGUGCGUCCAAUAAGUUGAUUUGUGUCAUUGGAUUAGCAUUAGGUCAUUUUCAUCCUCCAUAGGCUUAUUUUAAUCCAUUUUGGGUUUUUAACCAAUCUUGUGCAUCCAAUAAGUUCAUUUGUGUCAUUGGAUUAACAUUUAGGUCAUUUUCGUCCUCCCUAGGCUUAUUCUAGUCAAAUUAGGGUUUUUAACCAAUAUUGUGCAUCCAAUACGGGUGUUUGUGAAUUUGAUUAAUGUUUAUGUCCUUUUCAUCUUCCCAAGAUUUAUUUUAGUCCAUUUAGGGUGAUUAACCAAUCUUGUGCAUCCAAUAAGUUCAUUUGUGUCAUUGAAUUAACAUUUUGGGCAUUUUAGUCAUCCCUAGGCUUAUUCUAGAUCAAUUAGGGUUUUUAACUAAUCUUGUGCGUCAAAUAGGUUUGUUUUUUUCAUUGGAUUAAAAUUUAGGUCAUUUUCGUCUUUCUUAGGCUUAUACUAAUUUAUUUAGAGUUUUUAACAAAUCUAGUGUAUCCUAAAAGUUCAUUUGUGUCAUUAGAUUAAGAUUUGGGUUAUUUUGGUCCUCCCUAGACUUAUUCUAGUCCAAUUAAGAUUUUUAACCGAUCAUGUGCAUCCAAUACGUAUGUUUGUGUCAUUGGAUUAACAUUUCGGUCAUUUUCAUCCUCCCUAUGCCGAUUCUAGUCCAUUUAGGGGUUUUACCCAAUCUUGUGCAUCUAAUAAGUUCAUUUGUGUCAUUGGAUUAACAGUUAGGUCAUUUUCAUACUACCUAGGCUUAUUCUAGUCCAAUUAGAGUUUUUAACGUUUAUCCAAUAGGUAUGUUUGUUUCAAUUGAUUAACAUUUAGGUCAUUUUCAUCCUCCAUAUGUUGAUUCUAAUCCAUUUAGGGGUUUUAACCAAUCUUUUACCUCCAAUAAGUUCAAUUGUAUCAUUAGAUUAAUAUUUAGGUCAUUUUCUUCCUCCCUAGGCGUAUUCUAUUCCAAUUAGGGUUUUUAACCAAUCUUAUGCAUUUAAUAUGUCUGCUUUUGUCAAUUGAUUAACGUUUAAGUCAUUUUCGUCCUCCCUAAGCUUAUUGUAUUCCAUUUAGGGUUUUUAACCAAUCUUGUGCAUCUAAUAAGUUCAUUUGCGUCAUUGGAUUAACAAUUAGGUCGUUUUCGUCCUUCCUAAUCCAUUUAGGGUUUUAAACCAAUCUUGUGGGUCAAAUACGUGUGUUUUUUUUAAUUGAUUAACGUUUAGGUCAUUUUCGUCCUCGCUAUGCUUAUUGUAGUCCAUUCAGGGUUUUUAUCCAUGCUUGUGCAUCCAAUAAGUUCAUUUGUAUCAUUGGAUUAACAUUUAGGUCAUUUUCAUCCUACUUAAGCUUAUUCUAGUACAAUUAGGGUUUUUCACUAAUCUUGUCAUCAAAUACAUGUGUUUGUGUCAAUUAAAUAAAGUUUAGGACAUUUUCAACCUCCCUAGUCAUAUUCCAUUCCAUUUAGGGUUUUUAACGAAUCUUGUGCAUUCAAUAAGUUUAAUUGUUUUUAUAUAGGGUUUUGUCCUCCAUAUGUUUAUUCUAAUCCAUUUAGGGUUUUUAACCAAUCCUUUGCGACCAAUAUGUGUGUUUGUGUCAAUUGAUUAACAUUUAGUUCAUUUUCAUCCUCCCUAGGCUUAUUCUAGUCCAUUUAGGGUGUUUAACUAACUUUUUGCAUCCAAUAAGUUCAUUGUGUCAUUGAAUUAACAAUUAGGGCAUUUUAGUCCUUCCUAGGCUUAUUCUAGUCCAAUUUGGGUUUUUAACCAAUCUUGUGCAUCAAAUAUGUGUGUUUCUAUAAAUUGGAUAAACAUAUAGGUCUUUUAAUCCUCCCUAUGUUUAUUUUAGUCCAUUUAGACUUUUUAACCAAUAUUACGCAUCUAAUUAUUUCAUUUGUGUCAUUGGAUUAACAUAUAGGGCAUUUUAGUCUUCCCUAGGUCUAUUCUAGUCCAAUUAGUGUUUUUAACCAACCUUGUGCAUCAAUUACGUUUGUUUGUGUCAUUGGAUUAAAAUUUAAGUCAUUUUUGUCUUCCAUAGGCGUAUUCCUAACUAUUUUGGAUUUUUAACAAAUCUUGUACAUCCAAAAAGUUGAUUUGUGUCAUGAGAUUAGCAUUAGGCCAUUUUCGUCCUCCAUAGGCUUAUGCUAGUCCAAUUAGGGUUUUUUUAAAAUUCUUGUGCAUCCAAUACGUAUGUUUCUGUCAUUGGAUUAACAUUUUGGUCAUUUUCGUCCCCCCUAAGCUUAAUGUAGUCCAUUUAGGUUUUUUAACCAUUCUUGUGCAUCCAAUAAAUUCAUUUGUGUCAUUGGAUUAACAUUUAGAUCAUUUUCAUCUUACUUAGGCUAAUUCUAGUCCAACUAGGGUUUUUGACUAAUCUUGUGCAUCAAAUACGUGUGUUUGUGUCAAUUGAUUAAUGUUUAGGCCAUUGUCUUCCUCCCUAGGAUUAUUCUAGUCCAUUUAGGGUAUUUAACCAAUCUUGUGCAUCCAAUAAGUUCAAUUUUGUCAGUGAAUUAACAUUUAAGUCAUUUUUGUCCUCCAUCGGUUUAUUCUUAUCCAUUUAGGGUUUUUAACCAAUCAUGUGUGUCCAAUAAGUUCAUUUGUGUCAUUGGAUUAACAUUUAGAUCAGUGUCAUCCUCCUCAUGAUUAUUUUGGUCGAUUGAUAAAUGUUUAGGUCAUUUAAGUUGAUUUGUGUCAAUUGAUUAACAUUAGGUCAUUUAAGUUGAUUUGUAUAAAUGACCUAAACAUUUGUCCUCCUACUUAAGUUGAUUUGUGUCAAUUGAUUAACAUUAGGUCAUUUUCGUCCUCCCUAGGCUUAUUCUAGUCCAAUUAGGAUUUUUAACCAAUCUUUUGCAUCCAAUACGUGUGUUUGUGUCAAUUGAUUAACGUUUAGGUCAUUUUCAUCUUCUCUAGCCUUAUUCUACUCCAUUUAGGGUGUUUAACCAAUUUUUUUGCAUCUAAUAAGUUCAUUUGUGUCAUUGAAUUAACAUUUAGGGCAUUUUAGUCCUCCCUAGGCUUAUUCUAGUCCAAUUAGGGUUUUUAAACAAUCUUGUGCAUAAAAUAUGUUUGUUUGUGUCAUUUGAUUAAAAUUUAAGUGAUUUUCGUCUUCCCUGGGCUUAUACUAAUCUAUUUUGGGUUUUUAACUAAUCUUUUAUAUCCAAUAAGUUGAUUUGUGUCAAUUGAUUAAUAUUAGGUCAUUUUUGUUCUCCCUAGGCUUAUUCUAGUCUAAUUAGGAUUUUUAACCAAUCUUUUGCAUCCAAUACGUAUGUUUGUGUCAAUUGAUUAACGUUUAGGUCAUUUUCAUCCUCGCUAGGCUUAUUCUAGUCCAUUUAGGAUGUUUAACCAAUUUCUUGCAUCCAAUAAGUUCAUUUGUGUCAUUGAAUUAACAUUUAGGGCCUUUUAGUCAUCCCUAGGAUUAAUUUAGUCCAAUUAGGGUUUUUAACCAAUCUUGUGCAUCAAAUAUGUUUCUUUGUUUCACUAGAUCAAAAUUUAUGUCAUAUUCGUCUUCCUUAGGGUUAUUCUAAUCUAUCUUGGUUUUUAACAAAUCUUGUGAAUCCUAUAAGUUUAUUUGUGUCAUUGGAUUAAGAUUUGGAUUAAUUUCCUCCUCCCUAGGCUUAUUCUAGUCCAAUUAAGGUUUUUCACCAAUCUUGUGCAUCUAAUACGUAUGUUUGUCUCAUUGGAUUAACAUUUAGGUCAUUUUCGUCCUCCCUAAGCUGAUUCUAGUCCAAUUUAGGGUUUUUACCCAAUCUUGUGCAUCUUAUAAGUUCAUUUGUGUCAUUGGAUUAACAAUUAGGUCAUUUUCAUCCUACCUAGGCUUAUUCUAGUCCAAUUAGAAUUUUUAACCAAUCUUGUGCAUCCGAUAUGUGUGUUUCUGUAAAUUGGAUAAACAUUUAGGUCUAUUCAUCCUUCAUAUGCUUAUUUUAGUCCAUUUAGAGUUUUUAACCAAUAUUGUGUAUCCAAUAAUUUCAUUUGUGUCAUUGGAUUAACAUUUAGGUCACUUUCGUCCUCCCUAAGCUUACUGUAGUCUGUUUAGGAUUUUCAACCAUUCUUGUGGAUCAAAUAAGUUCAUUUGUGUCAUUUGAUUAACAUUUAGAUCAUUUUCAUCCUACUUAGGCUUAUUCUAGUUCAAUUAGGGUUUUUGACUAAUCUUGUGCAUCAAAUACGUGUGUUUGUGUCAAUUGAUAAAUGUUUAGGUCAUUGUCAUCCUCCUCAGGAUUAUUCUGGUCAAUUUAGGGUAUUUAACCAAUCUUGUGCAUCCAAUAAGUUCAAUUGUGUCAGUGAAUUAACGUUUAGGUCAUUUUUGCCCUCCAUAGACUUAUUGUUAUCCAUUUAGGGUUUUUAACCAAUCAUAUGCAUCCAAUAAGUUCAUUUGUAUCAUUGGAUUAACAUUUAAAUCAUUUUGAUCAUACUUAGACUUAUUCUAUUCCAAAUAGGGUUUUUGACUAAUCUUGUGCAUCAAAUACAUGUGUUUGCGUCAAUUGAUUAAUGGUUAGGUCAUUGUCAUCCUCCCUAGGAUUAUUCUAGUCCAUUUAGGUUAUUUAACCAAUCUUGUGCAUCCAAUAAGUUCAAUUGUGUCAGUGAAUUAACAUUUAGGUGAUUUUCAUCAUCCCUAGUCUUAUUCUAGUCCGAUUAGGGUUUUUAACCAAUCACGUGCGUCCAAUAAGUUCAUUUGUGUCAUUGGAUUAAUAUUUAGGUCAUUUUGGUCCUCCCUAGGCUUAUUCUAGUCCAAUUAGGGUUUUUAACAUAUCUUGUGAAUCCAAUAAAUUCAUUUGUGUUAUUAGAUUAACAUUUAGGUUAUUUUCAUCAUCCAUAGGCUUAUUCUAGCCCAUUUAGGGUGUUUAACCAAUCUUGUGCAUCCAAUAAGGUCAUUUGUGUCAUUGAAUUAACAUUUAGGGCAUUUUAGUCCUCCCUAGGCUUAUUCUAGUUCAAUUAGGGUUUUUAGCUAAUCUUGUGCGUCAAAAAGGUUUGUUUGUUUCAUUGGAUUAAAAUUUAGGUCAUUUUCGUCUUCCUUAGGCUUAUUCUAAUCUAUUUAGGGUUUUUAACAAAUUUGUUGAAUCCUAUAAGUUCAUUUGUGUCAUUGGAUUAAGAUUUGGGUCAUUUUCGUCCUUCCUAGGCUUAUUCUAGUCCAAUUAAGGUUUUUAACAAUCUUGUGCAUCUAAUACGUAUGUUUGUGUUAUUGGAUUAACAUUUAGGUCAAUUUCGUCAUCCCUAAGCUAAUUCUAGUCCAUUUAGGGUUUUUAACCAAUCUUGUGCAACCAAUAAGUUCAUUUGUGUCAUUGGAUUAACAUUUAGGUCAUUUUCAUCCUACCUAUGCUUAUUCUAGUCCAAUAAGAGAUUUUAACCAAUAUUGUGCUUCCAAUAUGUGUGUUUGUGUUAAUUGGAUACACGUUUAGGUCUUUAAAUCCUCCCUAUGCUUAUUUUAGUCCAUUUAGAGUUUUUAACCAAUAUUGUGCAUCCAAUAAUUUCAUUUGUGUCAUUGGAUUAACGUUUAAGUUAUUUUCGUCAUCCCUAGGCUUAUUCUAGUCCAUUUAGGAGUUUUAACCAAUCUUGUACCACCAAUAAGUUCAUUUGUGACAUUGAAUCAACAUUUAGGUCAUUUUCGCAAUCCCUAUGCUUAUUCUAGUCCAAUUAGAGUUUUUAACCAAUCUUGUGCAUCCAACACGUGUGUGUGUGCCAAUGGAAUAAGAUUUAGGUCAAUUUCAUCCUCCCUAAGCUUAUUCUUGUCCAUUUAGGGUUUUUAACCAAACCUGUAUAUCCAACUAGUUCAUUUGUGUCAAUGGAUUUAAAUUUAGGUCAUUUUCAUCCUCCAUAAGCUUAUUCUAGUCUUGUUAGGGUUUUUAACCAAUCUUAUGCAUCCAAUACGUGUGUUUGUGUCAAUUGAUUAACAUUUAGGUCAUUUUCAUUUCCCUAGGCUUAUUCUAGUCCCUAUAGGGUUUUUGACCAUUCUUGUGCAUCCAAUAAGCUCAUUUGUGUCAUUGGAUUAACAUUUAGGUCAUUGUCAUAAUCCCUAGUCUUAUUUUAGUUCAAUUAGGGUUUUUAUCCAAUCUUGUGUAUCGAAUAGGUGUGUAUGUGUCAUUGGAAUAAUGUUUUGGCCAUUUUCAUCCUCCCUAGGAUUAUUCUUGUCCAAUUAAGGUUUUUAACCAAUCUUGUGCAUCCAAUAGGUGUGUUUGUGUCAAUUGAUUAACAUUUAGGUCAUUUUCAUCCUCCCUAGGCUUAUUUUAGUCCAUUUAGGGUUUUUAACCAAUCUUGCCCAUCAAAUAUGUUUUCUUGGGUCAUUGGAUCUACAUUUAGGUCGUUUUCGUCCUCCCUAGGCUUAUUCUAAUCCAAUUAGGGUUUUUAACCAAUCUUAUUCAUCCAAUAAGUACAUUUGUGUCAUUGGAUUAACAUUUAGGUCAUUUUCGUUCUCCCUAGGCUUAUUCUGGUACAAUCAUGGUUUUUAACCAAUCUUGUGCAUCCAAUACGUGUGUUUUUGUCAAUUGAUUAACGUUUAGGUCAUUUUCGUCCUCCCUAGGCUUAUUCUAGUCCAUUUAGGUGUAUUAACCAAUCUUUUGCCACCAAUAAGUUCAUUUGUAUCAUUGAAUUAACAUUUAUGUCAUUUUCGUAAUCCAUAGGCUUAUUCUAGUCCAAUUAGGAUUUUAAACAAAUCUUGUGCAUCCAAUAAGUUGAUUUGUGUCAUUAGAUUAACAUUAGGUCAUUUUCGUCGUCCCUAGGCUUAUUCUAGUUCCAUUAGGUUUUUAACAAAUCUUCUGCAUCCAAUACGUAUGUAUGUGUCAUUGGAUUAACAAUUAGGUCAUUUUUGUCCUCCCUAAGCUUAUUGUAGUCCAUUAAGGGUUUUUAACCAAUCUUGUGCAUCCGAUAAGGUCAUUUGGGUCAUUGGAUUAACAGUUAGGUCAUUUUCAUCCUCCUAACGCUUAUUCUAGUCCAAUUAGGGUUUUUGACUAAUCUUUUGCAUCCAAUAAGUGUGUUUGUAUCAAUUGAUUAAAGUUUAUGUCAUUUUCAUCUUCCAUAGGCUUAUUCUAGUCAAUUUAGGUAUUUUAACCAAUCUUGUGCAUGCAAUAAGUUCAAUUGUUUCAUUGAAUUAACAUUUAGAUCAUUUUCGUCCUCCAUAGGCUUAUUCUUAUACUGUUACGGUUUUUAACCAAUCAUGUGCAUCCAAUAAGUUCAUUUAUGUCAUUGGAUUAACAUUUAGAUCAUUUUCGUCUUCCCUAGCCUUAUUCUAGUCCAAUUAGAGUUUUUAACUAAUCUUGCGCAUCCAAUAAAUGUGUUUGUGUCAAUCGAUUUACGUUUAGGUCAAUUUCUUCCUCCGUAGGCUUAUUCUUGUCCAUUUAGGGUGUUUAUCCAAUUUUGUGCAUCCAAUAUGUUCAUGUGUGUCAUUGAAUUAACAUUUAGGGCAUUUUUGUCCUCCCUAGGCUUAUUCUAGUCCAAUAAGGGUUUAUAACCAAUAUUGAGCAUCAAAUAUGUUUGUUUCUGUCAUUGGAUUAAAAUUUAAGUCGUUUUUGUCUUCCCUAUGCAUAUUCUAAUCUAUUUAGGGUUUUUAACAAAUCUUGUGCAUCCAAUAAGGUUAUGUGUGUCAUUGAAUUAACAUUAGUUCAUUUUCGUCCUCUAUAGGCUUAUUGUAGUCCAAUUGGGUCUUUUAACAAAUCUUGUGUAUCCAAUACGUAUGUUUGUGUCAUUGUGUUAACAUUUAGGUCAUUUUCGUCCUCCCUGAGCUUAUUGUAGUCCAUUUAGGGUUUUUAACCAAUCUUGUGCAUCCAAUAAGUUCAUUUGUGUCAUUGGAUUAACAUUUAGGUCAUUUUCGUCCUCCCUAGCCUUAUUUUAGUCCAAUUAUGGUUUUUAACCAAUCUUUUGCAUCCAAUUGUUUGUAUCAUUGGAAUAACAAUUAGGUCAUUUUCGUCCUUGAUAUUCUUAUUCUAAUCCAUUUACGGUUUUUAUACAAACUUGUGCAUCCAAUAAGUUUAUUUGUGUCAUUGGAUUAACAUUUUGGUCUUUUUCUCAUCCCUAGGCUUAUUGUAGUACAUUUAAAGUCAGGUAAACUUCCUUGUAUGUCAUCUGUUUGAUAAAAUUUCACACUGAAAAUUCUUUUAAUUUUCGGUUGAUCUUUAAAUUGCUUUUGUCCGUGUUUAGAUAUGAUUUACUGCUAAUUGCAGUUAAGGAUAAUAUGUUUAUCUGACUAACUUGAGCUAAAUUAAGAUCAUAUUGCAUUACUAAUUAGAGGACUUCAAGUGAAUUUUUCCUCAAAAUACUCAAUAGUCUAGUUUGUGGAAGUGCUUUUUAAAAUGAUUUUGUUGUAUGCCAAAUAUUAGGCAUCAUAACAUACAGGGCAUUGAACAUCUCAGAAUUUCAUCUGCAUUUCAUCACAUCCAUUAGGGUUGGAAGCGCUUACCGGCUAUUCAUGCCUCUAGACUAUCAGGUGAUUGAGGUAGUGUUAUACUAAUAUGUGGAUAAAACAAACCAGUGAAGGAUUUUCUCAAUGUUUUGCUGGGUGGUUAGCUACAUAGGAAGAUCCUCAAAAAUCAUGUACAUAUUGUUGAGUGGUUCGCUGAAAUUCCACAAUAGAGAGACACCCCCAAUUCUUAUCCGGGCCAUGUUAGCUUCUUAAUUCAUUUACAAUUCUUAUGAUUUAGCUGCAGUAGAAGUGUAGAACACAUCUUCUUAUAUCUACGAUAUAAAACAAAGAAAAAGCAUACCAAAAGAUUCCGAUAAAAUAAACUUUAGGUUGUAUUUGCAACAAUGUAUUCCUAGAGCCGUCCUUUCCCUACACCAAUUAAUGGCUCUUGCAAUCUCACUAGGUAUUCUUAAUUCACAAACGUUUUAAGCUAGAGCUAGUUGGAAAUUUUGUGUAUUUCCUCAACAACAUGUGAUGUAAAAGGGCAGGAAAAUUAAGGGAUUGUCCUUUUGAUGGAUGAGAUUCCUUUAACUAUGAUGCAUAUUGUGUGGAACUAGAGAAACAUAACUGAGAGGUUAACAUGAAAUCAUUAGUAUAUAAAAAUUUAAAUUUCAAAUGGAUUUUUGUAUUAUUUAUUCACUUUUCAAGUUUUUCUUCUCAGAAAUUUGAGAGAAGGAGAAAACAAAAGAGGAGCAAUCUAGGGAGAUCCAAAUUUGUUUUGGAGACAAGAAGGAAAGGAAGAAGCAGAUAAGCAAUAAAUAAGAAGAUGAAGAGGUAAUAUACAAUAUACUUUGGUUUGUUUUCUAAAGAUUUCACGGGAUGUGUCAAUGACACAAUCUGGGAGGUUUUCAUAUGCUCUUUUUGUUUUUAAUCCAAAACUGGUAAUCCUUAAUGACUUUGUGGAGUAAUUAAGUGCAUGUCAGCCGCAUGUUAAGCAAAAGUUAUGAUUGAUUUUUUUAUUUGUUAUAAUCAUUCUACUGCUAUUUAACCAAAUCCUAUUAGCCAUUAAGUAUUUGUUAUAAUUUUAGUGAUUUUUUUACAAUGAAGUAUAGAAAGACAUACAAUUGUGCCAAUAAAAACAAAUCAGGCUGCAUUCAAUUCCUGGUGUCAAUGAAUUACUGGAACCUUGUUUAUCUUCUUGUUUUUAUGCUUCCCCACAUGCACUUUUGCAUUCUCUCUAGCUGGAGAAUAUGUGCACAUCAGCAUGGUUUGUAAGCUUUUAAGGAAGAUAGGACCGAACGAGAAUAAGUGUAUAUUUGCAAAUUCCAAUGCAAGCUUGAUAAGUAAGCUCUCAAAGUUAUUGUAUGCUAUCUUCAUCAUUUUUAAUUAAAAAUUAUAUUUACAUUUGAAAGCAUACUAUGCAUCUAUUUUACUAUUCAGGUUUAUAAGUAUAUUUUGGUCUAAGUCUCAUGUGGCUAAUGUCUUGUAUUAGUGGUUCAGUAGUAAUUGAUGUUGUCUGGCUUAGCUUGUAGGAGUAUAUAAUAUGUGGGUUUAAGUUACAUUAAUAGAUAAUCUCGAUCAUUGAAGAUACUUUUUUUUUAAAAUUCUUUAAGUUGGAAAAUUGGUUUUCCACCAAACUUGAUUUAUUUUGUUGACAUUGCCAACAUACUUACAAAAAUCAUAUAAAAAAAUGUUAAUAAAGAUUGAUCUUGUUUGUAAGAAUAUAAUGUAUUUUGUUGCUGAUGUGAAGUUUGUUUUGGUAAAAAAUGCUUGAGGUUUCUCGGAUACUUGUGAUUUUUUUGAAUUUAACUUGUCUAAACUUUUUUCUCACAAAAGAAAAUCAUACCACAAUGGCCUAUAAUAUUAGUUUAAAAAAACAAUAGUUUCUUCUCUUAGGUUCUCAAAUAACACAUCUGAAUUAGUCAAUUUAAACGUAUAUUUAAACAAAAAUAACACAUCCGGAUUGGUGCAUCCAGACAAACACGGAAAAAUAAUUUUUAUUAAAAAUGGCCAGUAAAAGUAGGGUUGUGCAUGGUUGGUUUUUUUAAAAAAACCAAACCAUAUCUAUUUUAAAACCAAUAUAUAUGGAUAUAGAUUUAUAACCAAAUCCUUUAUUUGGUUUAAAACCGGUUAUAAAACCACUUAUAAAACUAGUUAUGGUUAAAUAACCGGUUUUUAAUUAAGCAACCAGUUUUGAAAAAUUCAAUUUUAAAAUCGGUUUUUUUUUUUGAGAAAUAAUUUUUUUUCAACUUUUUUCGAAAAAAUUUCCGAUAAAUAUUUUUUUUUCUCGAUAAACAAUAAUUUAUAAUUUUUUUAAUUCGAGAAAAAAAAAUCGAUUUAAAUUUUUUUUGAGAAAAAAAAAGUUUCUUAAUUUUUUUCAGAUAUUUUUUUGAAAAAAAUAAAUUCGAAAAUCUUUUUUAAAAAAAUCUCAAAAUUAACAAAAAAUUUAAUAUGAAUCUUCUUAGGAAAUUUUUCUUCCCCAACACUUGGCAAUUAUUUCUUGGUAUUUGGAUGCCUGUCAAAAUAUUAUUUUCAGUUUUAAAUCAUACAUGCAUACUGUGAAGGCACUACAAGAAAAGAUUUAUAUACCUACGGAAAAUUACCCACAGAUGUCAGUUAGUGAAUAAAUUAUAUAAUAUCUAUAGAAAAACCGUGAGUAAAUUUGUUAUUAAGUAAUUUAAUUUUUUUUAAUUGGUUUCCACGGUUUGUUCGUAGGUAAAAUAAAAAAAAUUCGUGGGCAAAAUUAAAAAAAAGAAACUCAACUUGAAGUUGCCAAAAUUUAAUCGUAUUUUUUGUUACCACUGAUUAUCCGUAGGUAAUAUCCGUGAGUAAAUUGAAAGUAUAGUUUUUUAUAUUACUUUGUUUUUUUUUUAAAAAAAAAAGUUAAUUCUUAGAAGGCAUUUGUUAGAGUAAGUAAUAGUUCAGUAAGGAAACAAAACAAAACAAAAGUAAGAGUAAAGGGGAUAGAAACAAAAACCCUUCUUCCACAAUAAAGGGGAACUUUCCGUUCAUCGCAUUCAAUCAACGUCGUUCGCCGUUCGCCCUUGACCGCCACUUCAAAUCACAAGUUCUGUCAUUCUCUCUGGUUCUUCUGUCGUUCGUGUUCUCUCUCUCAUUUGAUCUCUCUUGAAGGGGAUAGAAACAAAAACCCUUCUUAAAAAAUAAAGGGGAAAUCAACGUCGAUCGCAAUCAAUCAACGUCGUUCGCCGUUCGCCCUUGACCGCCACUUCAAAUCACAAGUUCUGUCAUUCUCUCUGGUUCUUCUGUCGUUCGUGUUCUCUCUCUCAUUUGAUCUCUCUUGUUCUUUUUUUCUUUGUUUUACUCCCAUUCGUUGUUGUUAUCUCGUUUGCUCUCUCUAAUUUGUUCCAUUUUCAUGAUUAUUUGUUGUGUAUCUGAACNNNNNNNNNNNNNNNNNNNNNNNNNNNNNNNNNNNNNNNNNNNNNNNNNNNNNNNNNNNNNNNNNNNNNNNNNNAUCUCAUUUCACAGGUAAAAGCUUGAAAAUCCCUAACUCUGUUAGUUUAAUUCCUAAAUCUGUUGUGAGGUGUGAUAUUGAUUUUUUUUUUUAGCUUGGAUACUGAUACUGAUAUUGAGUCUAGCGGUACCGUUUUUAUUUUGCUUGGAAUCUGAAUUUUUUUUUUUUUACUUGGAUAUUGUUUGCUUAGAUACUGAUAUUAAUUCCUAACUCCUAACCCUGUUGUGAGGUGUGAUGCUGACAUUGAGGUGUUCUUAUUUGUUAAUACAUGUUUAUAUUGGUUGAUACAAGUUUAUAUUUUUUUGGGAAUUGAUUGGAAUUGGUUGGAAUGUGUUCUUAUUUGUUACAAAAGGAAUCUUAUGUGGCAUUUGUGAUUGAACUUUAGUUACAAAAUAUGUGAUGAUGAUGAUGUGAAUUUACCUAGUGCAAAUCCAGUCACCAGUUUUCCAUCCUGGAGGGUAAUCACAAUCAAAGGCUUCCAUGUUUCCACCAAAUCCACAAGAAUAAAAACUUUUCAAUGCACCACAUCUAUAAUAGCUUGUUCUGCUAGCAUAGUUGUGUGCUCCACAGUUCAUACCAUUGCAAUACCAGUCCCCUGCCAAGGUCUAGUUGUAUCUAUAUGUUUCUAGAUAAGGGCCUCCAAUUUUAGGGUAUCCACAAUUUUGGCAUGCAUCCUUCUUCUUGAAAUUUAUGUGCUGACAAGAACCACACAUCCAAUCUCCUCCAGACCAACUCAUUUUAACUGUUAUAUGUAUAAAAUCUUUUAACAUUUAUUUUUCCUUCAAUUAUCAAUGCAGCCAUAAAAUAUAUAUAUAACAUAUAUAACAUAACUUAAUGCAUAUAUCCAAGAAAUGAAACAUGAUAAUGAGAAAUACUAGUUUUGUUUGUAUUUUACCAAUUUUUUAAAUAUAUUUUCACAACUGGUCUGUUAGUUUUUUGGGUCACAUGGAUUGGACUUCUGACAGGCUCCCAAAUCAGCCGGUUCUAUUUUCAAAACAUAGGCAUAAAGUGGUCAUGUAAGGGUGUGAUUAUAUCUGUUUCAAAAUAAAAAAUUUCAUUUUUUGAUGUCAAUUGUAACACCCCGUUUUUCUAAGCGAGGGUGUAUUUUUUUUUCAAAAGAAAUUAAAAUAAAACAGAGAAAUAAAUAAGGAAAUACCUUUGGAUAAAUAAUUGAGUCAUUAUAAUUUACAAGCAGCGGAAAAUUUUCUCAAAAUAUGAAUCCAAAAUAUUUACACAUCAAAAAGUGGUACAUGUAACCCAUCAAAAAUAACAUGUCAAGCUGACAGUAUUCGUAUAGGUACAAUCUUCCAUUUUAAAAUAAAUACAAUUCAAAAGAAAGACGUCUGUUCCCUCUAUGUCAACCUAAUAUGAUCAUUCUCCAAAACAAACUAAACGCCCUGAGUGAUCUCCACGCGCCCCGUAAGAUCCUCCUAACAUAGCUCCAGUCGGACAUUCCCCUCUACAUUCCCAUCCACAGGGUACGAACCGGUAGGAUUGUCCUGGCUCUCAUCUGAGGGCAAAGCCCAGAUUCCCACAAUAGUUAUAAAGGGUCACCAACUGAAAUUAACAGUUAACACAUAACAUUUAAGUUUUCAAAUGCACAAAAUAACCUUUCAACUAAGCAUGCACCUUAAAAGGAUUUUCCAUAUGCUAAAAGUUCAUAUCAUGCUUGCCAAUUAAAAAUGAAAUCAAAAUAAAGUUCUCAAUCCAUCAAGUAAUACAUAACUGACCAAGACUUUGAUAAAUCAAUUGAGCAAUCUGUUAUCUAACUCAAAAUAAGAAUUUCUACUAAACCAAUCGAUUUCCAAAUCGAUUUCCAGAAGGUUUUUAGUGAAAUUUGAAUUCUGGGCUUAAUUCAAUCGAUUGGGCAAUCANNNNNNNNNNNNNNNNNNNNNNNNNNNNNNNNNNNNNNNNNNNNNNNNNNNNNNNNNNNNNNNNNNNNNNNNNNNNNNNNNNNNNNNNNNNNNNNNNNNNNNNNNNNNNNNNNNNNNNNNNNNNNNNNNNNNNNNNNNNNNNNNNNNNNNNNNNNNNNNNNNNNNNNNNNNNNNNNNNNNNNNNNNNNNNNNNNNNNNNNNNNNNNNNNNNNNNNNNNNNNNNNNNNNNNNNNNNNNNNNNNNNNNNNNNNNNNNNNNNNNNNNNNNNNNNNNNNNNNNNNNNNNNNNNNNNNNNNNNNNNNNNNNNNNNNNNNNNNNNNNNNNNNNNNNNNNNNNNNNNNNNNNNNNNNNNNNNNNNNNNNNNNNNNNNNNNNNNNNNNNNNNNNNNNNNNNNNNNNNNNNNNNNNNNNNNNNNNNNNNNNNNNNNNNNNNNNNNNNNNNNNNNNNNNNNNNNNNNNNNNNNNNNNNNNNNNNNNNNNNNNNNNNNNNNNNNNNNNNNNNNNNNNNNNNNNNNNNNNNNNNNNNNNNNNNNNNNNNNNNNNNNNNNNNNNNNNNNNNNNNNNNNNNNNNNNNNNNNNNNNNNNNNNNNNNNNNNNNNNNNNNNNNNNNNNNNNNNNNNNNNNNNNNNNNNNNNNNNNNNNNNNNNNNNNNNNNNNNNNNNNNNNNNNNNNNNNNNNNNNNNNNNNNNNNNNNNNNNNNNNNNNNNNNNNNNNNNNNNNNNNNNNNNNNNNNNNNNNNNNNNNNNNNNNNNNNNNNNNNNNNNNNNNNNNNNNNNNNNNNNNNNNNNNNNNNNNNNNNNNNNNNNNNNNNNNNNNNNNNNNNNNNNNNNNNNNNNNNNNNNNNNNNNNNNNNNNNNNNNNNNNNNNNNNNNNNNNNNNNNNNNNNNNNNNNNNNNNNNNNNNNNNNNNNNNNNNNNNNNNNNNNNNNNNNNNNNNNNNNNNNNNNNNNNNNNNNNNNNNNNNNNNNNNNNNNNNNNNNNNNNNNNNNNNNNNNNNNNNNNNNNNNNNNNNNNNNNNNNNNNNNNNNNNNNNNNNNNNNNNNNNNNNNNNNNNNNNNNNNNNNNNNNNNNNNNNNNNNNNNNNNNNNNNNNNNNNNNNNNNNNNNNNNNNNNNNNNNNNNNNNNNNNNNNNNNNNNNNNNNNNNNNNNNNNNNNNNNNNNNNNNNNNNNNNNNNNNNNNNNNNNNNNNNNNNNNNNNNNNNNNNNNNNNNNNNNNNNNNNNNNNNNNNNNNNNNNNNNNNNNNNNNNNNNNNNNNNNNNNNNNNNNNNNNNNNNNNNNNNNNNNNNNNNNNNNNNNNNNNNNNNNNNNNNNNNNNNNNNNNNNNNNNNNNNNNNNNNNNNNNNNNNNNNNNNNNNNNNNNNNNNNNNNNNNNNNNNNNNNNNNNNNNNNNNNNNNNNNNNNNNNNNNNNNNNNNNNNNNNNNNNNNNNNNNNNNNNNNNNNNNNNNNNNNNNNNNNNNNNNNNNNNNNNNNNNNNNNNNNNNNNNNNNNNNNNNNNNNNNNNNNNNNNNNNNNNNNNNNNNNNNNNNNNNNNNNNNNNNNNNNNNNNNNNNNNNNNNNNNNNNNNNNNNNNNNNNNNNNNNNNNNNNNNNNNNNNNNNNNNNNNNNNNNNNNNNNNNNNNNNNNNNNNNNNNNNNNNNNNNNNNNNNNNNNNNNNNNNNNNNNNNNNNNNNNNNNNNNNNNNNNNNNNNNNNNNNNNNNNNNNNNNNNNNNNNNNNNNNNNNNNNNNNNNNNNNNNNNNNNNNNNNNNNNNNNNNNNNNNNNNNNNNNNNNNNNNNNNNNNNNNNNNNNNNNNNNNNNNNNNNNNNNNNNNNNNNNNNNNNNNNNNNNNNNNNNNNNNNNNNNNNNNNNNNNNNNNNNNNNNNNNNNNNNNNNNNNNNNNNNNNNNNNNNNNNNNNNNNNNNNNNNNNNNNNNNNNNNNNNNNNNNNNNNNNNNNNNNNNNNNNNNNNNNNNNNNNNNNNNNNNNNNNNNNNNNNNNNNNNNUAUAUAUAUAUAUAUAUAUAUAUUAAUUACUUUUAACAAAUAUCUCCAAAUAUCUAGAUAUUUAUUAAAAUUACCAUUUCACCCAUAAGACAUUAAAUUCUUCAUAAAAGAUCCACCGCAGUUAAUUUAAUUUAUUCGUCGACGAGUAAUUCUAAUCGGCAUCAAAAUAUCUUUUUGGUCAUAUAAACUCCCAAAAUAUUAAUAACUUGGCUAAAAAGCCCAUGAGUUCAAUACCAAAAUCCACUAAAAUAUAUAAAGUAUACUUUAAAAUUAUGGGUCUUACAUCAAUCGUUAAGUAACCACAAAUAGGUUAUAGGACGAUAGACAAGUAUUCAAAUUUGGUGUGUAGUGUUUCGUUCUUCUAGCCUUGUGCAACUACUUGGUGCUCCAAUUUUAAUGUGCCAAGUGGGUAGUGGUAGUAAAGGUGGGAAAAUCAGUUGAAAACGUGUCUAAAUAUCUGCAACUUGAAAUAGAUAGCUUACUUUUAAGGGGUUUGUAUUUUUAUGCUUAAAUAUAAUUUUAGUCAUUUAUCUUUUACCUAAUAUUCGUUUUGGUCCUUUAUAUUUAUUUUUAUUCAUUUUAUGCAGUAUUAUACAUCAUGUUCAUGUGUUAUUUAUUUCAUCUUCUCCUUUAUUAUGAAUAUUUUAUGCACAUGAAUGGAAUGAGAGCUGAUUGGAAUUGGUUGCAAUUGGUUGAAAUGUGUUCUUAUUUGUUGCAAAAGGAAUGUUAAGUUAGUUUGACAAUUUUACAGCAAUAACUUGUUAUAGGUAGUUUGACAAUUUAAGUUAGUUUGACAAUGAGAGCUAAAUUAUCUGCAACUAAUUUUACAGCAAAUAUCUGCAUAACUAUUUAUAAUUAGUUUCACAAUUAGUUUAUGUUUGGAGAACAUUAUUUUCAAUUUGAACUUUGAGUAAUAACUUGUUUGAGGUUUGUAUAGGUAUCCUAUUUGAUAUGUAAAAUUACAUUUUGUUCACAGUUUCAUCGCUCCUCAAUUAUUUGUUUGUCCUUCAAAAUAUGGAUGGCUACCAUCCAUCUCGUAGUUGGGUAUAUGAUAGACUUUAUGUUCAACGAGGGGGGUUGAAACCAGCCUUCGCAAAAGGUGUUGAAGAGUUUAUAACAAAGGCAAUAAGUCGAAAUCAAUUUGUAAAAGAUGGUGGCAUCAGAUGUCCUUGUCACAAUUGCAUGUGUAGUAGUAUAUUGUCUGCAAGUGAAGUCAAACUUCACUUGUAUAGGUUUGGGUUCCAACCAAAUUAUUGGUAUUGGACUGAGCAUGGUGAAGAAUCCCCACAUAUUGACCCAGAAAAUAUUCCAAGUAGUAGUGGAAAUAUUGAUAACGAUGAUCCGUUUACGUUAAUGCAACAUAUGGCCGAUGAUGCAUUUGGUCCUACGUAUGACUUCCAAAAUAUGGGUGAUGAAGGCAACGAGGAAGAGAAUAAUGAAGAGCCCCCAAAUGAUGAUGCUCAAGACUUUUAUGAUUUGUUAACUGCUGCAAACAAACCCUUAUAUGAGAGGACUUCUGAUUCAAAACUUUCAAUAUGCGUAAAACUUUUAGCUUUCAAAUCAAAUUGGAAUGUUCCACAUAAAUGUCUUGAUUUCUUUGCAAGAAUGCUUGUAGAUGUGUGUCCUUUUAAGGAUUCACUUCCAAAAAAAAUUUACCAAGCAAAAAAAUUGGUGACAAUGCUAGGAUUGAAGUCUGAGAAAAUUGAUUGUUGUGUUAAAAGGUGCAUGUUGUACUACAAAGACAAUAGUGCAGAUAUAAAGUGUAGGUUUUUCAAUGAACCUCGAUAUGUUCCUCGUAAGCCUGGGAUAGGUAACCUCAAAGACAUUUCAGUUAAGAGGAUGUUCUAUAUUCCAAUCACUCCAAGGUUAAAAAGAUUGUAUGCAUCAAAGGAAACUGUUGCCCAAAUGAGAUGACAUCAACAUAAUAGAUCGAGUUCAGGCAGUUUACGUCAUCCAUCAGAUGGGGAAGCUUGGAACCAUUUUGAUGCAAAGUAUCCAAACUUCGCAAAUGAACCGAGAAAUGUAAGGCUUGGUUUAUGUUCUGAUGGCUUCACGCCAUACAUUCAGGUCUCUUCAUCCCCAUAUUCUUGUUGGCCUGUUGUUGUGACCCCGUAUAAUCUCCCGCCCGAAAUGUGCAUGACUAAACCAUUCAUGUUUUUGACUUGUCUCAUACCUACACCAUCUAACCCAAAAGCAAACAAUGAUGUAUAUUUACAACCGUUAAUAGAUGAGCAUAAACAGUUGUGGAGUGAAGGGGAUUUGACUUAUGAUAUUUCCAUGAAACAAAAUUUUGUAAUGAGGGCAACUUUAAUGUGGACAAUUAACGAUUUUCCUGCUUAUGGCAUGUUAUCUGGAUGGAGUACCCAAGGUAAGUUGGCAUGUCCGGCGUGUAUGGAUGGAAAUAAGGCUUUUACCUUAAAAUACGGUGGCAAAAAUUCAUGGUUUGAUUGUCACCGUCGUUUCUUACCUCAUAACCAUGCAUUUAGAAGAAGUAAAAAAGGGUUCACUAAAAAUAGGGUUGUGAAGGAUGAACCUCCUCCAAUAUUGAAUGGUGAAGAAGUUUGGGGUUUGGUUCACAAUAUUCCACGAGUGAUAGAUAAUGCACAUACUAAAUUGUCUGGAUAUGGAGUUAGCCAUAAUUGGACUAAACGAAGCAUAUUUUGGGAUCUUCCAUACUGGAAAGAUAAUUUAUUAAGGCAUAAUUUAGAUGUCAUGCACAUAGAAAAAAACUUCUUUGAUAAUGUGUUUAACAUUGUCAUGAAUGUUAAGAACAAGACUAAGGACAAUGAAAAAGCACGAAUGGACUUGGCCAUGAUUUGCCAACGUAGCGACUUGGAGUUGGUUCCACAUAACAAUGGAAAAAUGACAAAACCUAAGGCAAAUUAUUGUCUUACGUCUAAUGGGGCAAAAAAUGUUUGUAAAUGGAUAAAGGAGCUUAAGAUGCCAGAUGGGUAUGCUUCUAACUUGGCAAGAUGUACAGAUGUUAUGGAGUGUUUGCUUCCAUUUGCAUUUAGUUCACUGCCUGACCAUGUGCGGAAACCAUUAACAGAAUUAAGUCAAUUCUUUAAAGGCUUGUGCAUCAAUACCUUAAGACACGAUGAAUUGGUCAAAUUGGGUGAAAAUAUUCCAUUCAUCAUAUGCAAACUUGAAAGAAUCUUUCCACCAGGAUUCUUUGAUUCAAUGGAAUAUCUUCCAAUUCACCUACCGUAUGAGGCAAAACUUGGUGGUCCAGUUCAAUAUCGAUUGAUGUAUCCAUUUGAAAGGUAUUUUAUAUUCUCCAUUAAGGAUUUCAUUUUUUUUUUCAAGAUAUUUUCACAUUUAUUAAGUUAUUGCUCUCACUUUUCCAGAAUGAUGGGUGAUUUUAAGCGCACAGUGAAAAACAAGGCUAGAGUGGAAGGCUCAAUAUGUAUGUCAUACUUACAUCGAGAGGCAACAUAUUCUUGUUCCCACUAUUUCAAAACAAUCUCUUUGUUUGAUAGAAGCCAGCGUAAUGAAGGUGCAAAAUUAAAUGAUACUGUCACGACAACACUAUCAAUUAGCAAUCAAUUAGGACGUCCUAGUGGGAAGGCUCAAACUCAUUGGUUAAGUGAUGCUAAAAGAAGGUCUGCUCAUGUACACAUCCUCAUCAAUUGCAACGAGGUCUAGCCAUAUAUUGAGUAAGAAGUCUGUAAGCACACACCCCACAUAACUACCAAAUACUUGUAAUAACACUUCUCUCAUUAUUGACAGCGCCUUUUUGCACUAUAAUUCCAUUAUUGAAGACAAUCCUAUAUCUCAAACUCGUAUACAUGGAGAAUUCACAGAAUGGUUUCGUGCGUAUGUAAGUGAUUUAUUGAAGUUCGAUGCAAAUAAAUUAGAACUUCUCACCUAACUAUUGUGAAUAUCAUGAUUGUAUAGUCCAGUGACAAGGAAAAUGGUGUGACUGACCCUAACUUGUUAUCAUUAGCUUGGGGUUCUGACUCAAUGGUCAAAAUAUGGCACAAGUAUUACACUAAUGGGUACAAAAUUUCACACAAAAGCUUGGUCUCAGGGUAAGAAAACCAUAAAUAGUGGAGUUUAUGUGAAAGGGGUUACUAGAGGAGGAGAAGAUGAUUUCUAUGGAGUCAUCCAACAUAUCUUCGAGUUGGAGUAUUACAAAUUGCCUCACAAGGUAGCCUUGUUUUAUUGCCAAUGGUUUGAUCCUAGACGAAAUAGAGGAACCAAAGUUCAUCCGCGGUAUGAUAUUGUAGAUAUCAAUAUGAAUCGGAAAUAUGAUUUCUAUGAUCCCUUCAUAAUUGCACAAAAAGCUAGACAAGUGUAUUAUGUACCUUAUCUUGAAAUGCGAACUGAUAAGCGUCACUGGUCUGCCGUUAUCAAAACAAAGCCUAUGGGUCAUGUAGAGGUGGACGGAGUCGAUGAGGACAUGCCAUAUCAAGAUAAAGAUAUGACACAUGUUGAACAAUUAACUGAAAUUGAAGAAAUAGUUGGCUUGCACGAUGAAACACAUAGCGAUGAAGAAGUCAAUGUAACGUUUGUUUCAAAUAUUCCAAUUGAUAAUAAUAGUGAUAUGGAUGAUGAAGAUGGGGAUGAUUAUUCAAUUGAUGUUUGAAUUUUCCGUAAGUAUAAAUAGUAGUUGAUUAUUUGUUUAAAUCUUCAUAUUCUACCUUUUUAUAUAUUAGUUUUACAUCUUGAAUUGUUGAUUGUUUGUUUGAAUUGUGUGUGUGCUAAUUGUUUUUAUUCAUCUUAUUCUUUAUAGAUGACUUCAAAAGAAAAGAUUAGACUCAAGCUUCCAUUCAAGAAAAAUCGCAUCAUUUUACCGCAUAAGGUAACUCAAGCAGCCCAACAGGUACAAGCAAUAGUUGAUCAAUUGCCACUAGAUGUCAAUGCCACUACACCAACCUCACACUAUGUGCGGCAUCCCACCCAACAACUUGUUCAACCUCCUACCCAACAAGCUGCAGUGCUUCCAAUCCAACCUAAUAAGGUGCAUGGUACUGAACCAAUUAUAGUGAUGAUGCCCACACCGAGUUUUGUCCCAGAAGACAAUAUUUCCCUGAUUGCUGAUCAUUCACCGUCACAACCAUUAACAUCUGUUGCCUCACGACAUACUUUAAUUUCAGCUAACCCACCACCUUCAACACAUGUUGCUAUUGGUAAUAAGACUCAAGGGUCACAAUGCUCCAAUUCUAGUCAUGGGGUUGUGCCUGAUGGGAGAAUAAUGAUAUGGCCGGAUGGUCGAGGGUAUGUAACAAAUUCUGAUUAACUUUUCAUUACUACAUGAGGAUUAGGGUACGUUUCAAGUUAUUUUUAGAAAUUUGAUGUUUUUAAAAAAAUUGUUUACAGGUGGUUACCGUGUAGGGUGGCCUCGAGAGCCCUCACCUCAGUCAUUACAUCACAAUAUGUUGAUCCAUAACACGAGCAAAAGCGGCAUAACACGAGGCACGAGAGCCGCGAGAGGAGCUAAGAAAAGUUGAGCAACGUCGACAAGAGUGUUGGUAUAUAUGACCUCGUAAUAAGCGGAAUAUAUCAGAAUGUAUCAGUUCUUUAUGAAAUUAAAUUAAUUUCAUACACACAACGAAAAUUAAAUUGUGGCAUACAAGAUUAGCAAGUUUUAUUAGAUUGAUAUGAGAUUAAUCAAGAUGCAUACAAGUCAAAUUAUCAGAUUAAACAAUAUUACUUAUUACAGAAUAUGUUUAACAUGCAUCUAAUUUUAAUCACAUAUACAGAUAUAUCAAGAUAGUAAAUCAAAGGAGAUAAGGGUUAGAGAAGAUUGCACCAAGGAUUUAUACUGGUUCAGUUGUCCACUUGACAACCUACAUCCAGUCCUGCAAAUCCAAACGGAUUUCAGAUUUUCUUCUCCAAUAGAAAGAAUCAAUUACAGAUUGUCCAGUUUCCUCCCCGAAACCUAUCUAUCUUAAUGAUCUAUUUCCUAUUGAUCACCCUCUGAUCCUUGUAGAUACUCAGCAACCUAUCACAGAAUCAAAGUACAACUCUUUCUUGUUGAGCACUCUCACCCAAGAAAGUAGUCACCAGUUUCUAGCUGGAUUUUCUCGCUUUGUUUUUGUUUCAAAGAAUUAUUACAAACAGAAUACAGAAAGAACAAAAAGUAGUCUUCAAUCUUGGUCAAAAUGGCUUCUCACAAUUCUGGAUAUCAAAGAUUUGUUUAUGAGAAUCCUUGUCUUUCAAGAUAACUUUUCCAGCUAUCUUUUUGAUUGUUGAUAAUCCUCUUUUUCAAUUUGAUCUGAAAAAGUAAUCUCAUAACCAAGUGUUAUUGUGUAUCAAGAAUAUUCAAUGUAUAUUUCAGAUUGAUAUCAUUGUUAUUAUCAUUCAUGUUAUUGAAAGACAGAUUGAAGACAGUUUAUAUAGUUUCUGAAAAACACAUUAAUCAAUCGAUUUACCAAUCGAUUUCGUAAAGUGAUAAACCAGUCUAAUCGAUUUGCCAAUCGAUUAUCGUGUGUCUUGUUUUUCUUGAAUCUUGAAACUAUAUAACCCAAUCGAUUUACCAAUCGAUUCUUUAAACAACAUUUCUCAGUGAUUAUGUUAAGACUGAUAUGAAUCGAUUUCGUAAUCGAUUGCAGAUGUUAUGUUCAAACUGAAACACAUAUCAAUCGAUUCCAUAAUCGAUUUAUCAAAUCUUCAUAAUCGAUUAACAAAUACUUAAAAUCGAUUUGGUCACACGCUCAGAGUUCACUGGGUUUUCAAAAGGUUUUGUCAAUCGAUUUGCCAAUCGAUUGAGUUUAAGUCAGUGACUCAGCUAUUUUGAUACUAAUCGACGUGCCAAUCGAUUUGUAUGUAUUUGUCUGAAAACGUUCUUACCUGGGAUUUGGUUCAAUCGAUUUCCCAAUCGAUUUCGACCAAAUUUAACUUGAUUGAAAUAUUACAACAUAGAUUGUCCAAUCGAUUUGUAUGUCACAGGAAAAGUUAUUUUGCAAGUGAUUUUUAAGUAAUCGAUUUGCCAAUCGAUUACCCUUAAAACUGGGUUUCCACUGUGACUUAUCCAAUCGAUUUCCCAAUCGAUUUAUUUCAAUCAGGUUUACUUUGUGAAUUGUAUAAUCGAUUUGUCAAUCGAUUACCCUCAAAACUGGGGUGCCACUGACUUGUGCAUUUUCAAUUUCUAAUUCAGUCAGUCGAUUGCCCAAUCGAUUAUACCAACACAAACAGUUGUGUUUCCUUACACCUUUGUUAUGAAAUCGAUUUCCCAAUCGAUUUGCUUUAGUCAAAAGUCAACUUUUGUUGAUUUCUUGUGUUUCAAGCAACCUGUUCCAAGUGUGUAGGAUUUGAUUGUUGUUCCUGAAAUCUUGCUCAAUUCAAAUAUUAGAUUUAUCAUGUAUUGUAUGAACAUUGUUGAAUUAUUAAUUAUGUCAAAAUUAGGAAUCAAAGGAUCAAAAUCCAACAAUCUCCCCCUUUUUGGCAUAAUUGACAAUUCAUACAAUUGUAACUUGAGCAUUUCAAAACAACAAGCAUAAGUGUAUUAUAAACAACAUUAUUACUUGUUAUUAAGUAACAGAGCAAACUAUAUCAUAAGUAUCAAAGUAAUAACAACAUGCAGACAAACAUCAACAAUGCAACUGUCAAGUUAUAAUAUUUCUCCCCCUUUGUCAUUUAAGUCAAAAAGGUAGAAACAAUUGCUCCCCCUAUGUUAAAGAACAUAUGCAUUGGGUUUGAAACAUAUAACACAGUGCAUCAAAAACAAUGAAGUUUAUAUGGCUAAAUGCAAAAUCAAUCAAUGCAAUUAAUGAGCAACUUAGAUGAUUAAGCCAAAAAGAUAUAACAUUUAUAAAAAUUCAUCAUACAUCACAAAAUUAUAACAGGUCAGAGCAAAACAGUAUGAAACCUAAGGGUCCUAAACACCUAGUGUGGGCUGGUCCUCACUAUCAUCUAAGGGAGAGGUUGAGACCGCUGUAUUAACCUCAGCAGGUGUCUCCUCACCAUGAGUCUCAGGGUUAACUGGGGGGUUUGGGUUAGGUUCAUCUGUAGCUUGUCGACCAAUCUCUGCGACGUCUUCAAAUGACAGUUUGAUGCCGAGGUGUGUCUGAAUCGCAUCCACAUCGUGAACCACUGAGUUCAAGGAGUCUUGCAGAGUCCUUAAGCGUGCUUCCAAUCUGGUCUGAGAUUCCAACACUUUGGCAUUGUGUGCCAUCUGAGCUUCAAUGAAUUCCAAAAUUCUGUUCACAAAAUCAGGAGUAGCAGAUUCAGUAACUGGUGGAGGCUGAGACUGAGGUUGAGGUUGGGGCUGGACAGGGUCAGCAGCUGCUUGAGGUCUUAUCCAUUUACCAUGUAAUCGCUUCAGUUGCAUCUGAUUCACUAUCGAUUCACCAAACACCAAUGUCGUUUUAGCAGAUUCCUCAUUUCCAAAUGAGACCUUGAAGUGUUUGAGAAUUUUAGUUAUCAACUGUGGAUAAGGCAGCAUCAGCUUGCUUUGAGAUGCUUCCAACAUGUGCCUUAGCACAAUCCAACACCAGCUCAUCCUUAACUCUUUGGAUAAGCCCCACAACAGUAUGAUGUCCAACUUCUGGACUACUGCGUGAUUUCCCGAUCGUGGAACCAGCAUACGCGUCAAAGCAUACAUCAACAUCCUCUGUUGAACCUUCAUCUGACCAAUGGGCAGUGAAAUCGAUUCAACAAACCCAUCGACCAUCAGGUCUUUAACUGCGGUAUGCCUAUCAAGUGUUUCUUCCCAACCUUCAUCGGCAGUGUCGGCUUCUGUGCUGCCAUCAAUAGAUUUGCCGUAGAAAGGCAAUCCAGAUAAAGUUGAGAAAUCAUCAAAAGUCAUUGUAAUUCUUUUUCCCUUAACUGAAGCAGUAAAACCUUCUUCAGUCAUCUUAAAGGUAGAAUAAAACUCCCUGAUCAGCCUUGGAUAGCUGUCGAGUGUAGAAGACAGAAAACUUUCCAAUCCAUGAAACCUGAGGUGGUUCUGAAAAGUAAAUUCCACAACAUCAAAAUAUUCAAAAUCCAUGGUUCUAGCUUCAUGAAUUUUCCUUUUUGCGAAGUCUGUAGACAAAGAUGGUUGUACCUCCUUUUCCUUAGGUGCAGAGACCUUCUUAGGAGGUGGAGAAGAAGUAGGCUUCUUCUUCCUUUUCUGAGUAAUUACUUUCAUGGCAUCAGCCAUGAGCUUUUCAGUAGGGGGCUCUUUGCGUUUCUUCGACUUUUCCUGGAUUGGGGCAGGAGCUUUUCCUUUAUCCUUUGCAAGUAUUUUGUGAGUUGGGAUGGGUACUCUUUUUGUUAAAGUUGGAGGUGGUGAUGGUGUUUCACUGGUGGAAGAAGAUGAUGGAGAUGGAGUGCAUGCUUGAGUCUGUUUUACACGGGCCAUAUCAACAAUGUUGUGUAGAUUCGAAGUAGGUAGAGUGUAGAAAGCAGAUUCAAACAAAUGCAGAGACAGAAGAAAGAAGAACACAAGAGAAAAGCAGAGAAAAUCUGGAAAACAAAGUGCAGAAAUCGAUUUAGAACUGUUCCUUUUAUACUCUUGACCUAGUAAAUCGAUUUCCCAAUCGAUUAGGUUACCGUUGCUGGGAAUCCUCAAUCGAUUCAGUAAUGAUGAAGUGCCAACGGCUAGUAACUUUGAGUAACGGUCAUAUUUCAAAUCGAUGUUCAAAUCGAAUUCCAGUUUUACUUAAUCGAUUCCCAAAUCGAUUGUCUUAAGGUUGAACACUUAGCUAAUCGAUUUCCAAAUCGAUGCUCGUGAAGGUUAAAAAAAAAUUUCUGAAAUUUUGAAUCCUGGGCUAAAGUAAUCGAUUCCCAAAUCGAUUUUAUAAACCUUUUACCAUGCUGGUAAUCGAUUUCCAAAUCGAUGUAACUGGAAAACAUUACUGAAAAGUACCAGAAUCAUCAAAAACUUACACUUCACUAGGAUCAAUGAUCCCUAGUUUCAUCCUUAUGUUCAAAAAACUUUCUUUUGGCAAUGCUUUUGUGAAGAUAUCAGCUAAUUGUUCUGUAGUGUUCACAUACUCAAGUUUGAUAACUCCAUUCUGAAAGUGGUCUCUUAUGAAGUGAUGCCUUACCUCAAUGUGUUUUGUCCUUGAAUGCAUUACAGGGUUCUUGGUUAUGCUGAUAGCACUUGUGUUAUCACACAUGAUCGGCACUGUUCCCAAAUCGACACCGAAGUCCAUUAAAUGCUGUUUCAUCCACAAGAUUUGAGCACAACAGCUCCCAGCUGCUAUGUAUUCAGCUUCUGCAGUAGACAAUGCAAUACUUGUUUGCUUCUUACUGAACCAAGACACUAGAGAAUUACCAAGCAAAUGACAUGUUCCUGAAGUACUCUUUCUGUCAAGUUUACAACCAGCAAAGUCUGAGUCUGAAUAACCAACCAAAGUACAUGUUGAACCUUUUGGAUACCACAAACCAAGACUUUUAGUACCUACCAAGUAUCUGAAAAUUCUCUUUACUGCACUGAGGUGAGAUUCCUUCGGAUUCGAUUGAUACCUUGCACACAUACAAACACUGAACAUAAUAUCUGGUCGGCUUGCUGUAAGGUAGAGCAGAGAUCCAAUCAUACCACGAAAUCUAGUGACAUCUACAGGCUUACCCUUCUCAUCUCGGUCUAAGAAAUUUCCUUGACUCAUGGGUGUAUCAAUGGACUUAAGUUUAUCAAAGUUAAAUUUCUUUAUCAAAUCAGAACAAUAUUUGGAUUGACUAAUGAAAAUGCCUUGCUUGCUUUGGUUAAUUUGAAAUCCCAAGAAAUAUGACAGUUCACCCAUCAUUGACAUUUCAAAUUUACCUUUCAUUAAGUUUUCAAAUUCUUUGCAAAGUUUAUCAUUUGUUGAUCCAAAUAUGAUGUCAUCAACAUAAAUUUGGACCAGCAAGAUGUCAUUUUCAGUAGUUUUUGUAAAGAGUGUCUUAUCAACAUUUCCUCUUGAAAAAUUUUGUUGAAUGAGGAAAGUGCUGAGUUUCUCAUACCAAGCUCUUGGAGCUUGUUUCAACCCAUAGAGGGCCUUUGAGAGUUUAUACACAUGGUUAGGAAAAUCUGGAUUUUCAAAACCUGGUGUUUGACUCACAAAAACUUCCUCUUGGAGGUCUCCAUUGAGAAAGGCACUCUUCACAUCCAUUUGAUAUAGAUUGAAGUCCAUGAUACAUGCAUAAGCCAAUAAAAUUCUUAUGGCUUCUAGUCUAGCUACUGGGGCAUAGGUCUCAUCAAAGUCUAUUCCCUCCUCUUGACUAUAACCCUUUGCAACUAAUCUGGCUUUAUUCCUAGUUAUCACACCAUUCUCAUCUAACUUAUUUCUGAACACCCACCUAGUUCCUAUAACAUGCUUACCCUCUGGCCUAGGUACCAAGUUCCACACCUUGUUUCUCUCAAACUGGUUUAACUCCUCUUGCAUAGCAAGUAUCCACUCACUAUCUAAAAGGGCUUCCUUAAUGUUCUUAGGUUCAAUCUGAGAUACAAAGGCUGUAAAGUUACAAAACUGACUAAGGCUUCUCCUAGUUGCAACACCUUUAGAGAUAUCGCCUAUAAUGUUGUCUAAAGGGUGGUUUCGGUUGAACUUCCAUUCCUUAGGCAACUCACAGGUUUCUAUAGGUUCUACAGGGUCUGCACUAGUUGGAGGGUCAGCUAUAGGUUGUUCUAGUGGUUCAGAUUCUACAACAUCAUCCAAAAUGUCAAUAACCUUAGAAGGAGUUUUGUUCAAGUUUUCUGUAAAAGAUUCAUCAAACUUUACAUGAACUGACUCUUCUAUGGUUUUUGUUCUUUUGUUGUAGAUUCUAUAGGCCUUACUAGUUUGGGAAUAUCCUAGAAAGAUACCUUCAUCUGCCUUAGGGUCAAACUUUCCUAGGUGUUCUUUGCCAUUGUUUAAAACAAAGCAUUUACAACCAAAGAUUCUAAAGUAGGACAGGUUUGGUUUUCUACCCUUGUAAAGCUCAUAGGGUGUUUUCCUAAGCAGGGGCCUAAUGAGAACUCUAUUCACUACAUGGGUGGCUGUACUAAUUGCAUCUGCCCAAAAGUACUUAGGUAGGUUGGAGUCCUUAAGCAUGGUCCUAGCUAACUCUUCUAGGGAUCUAUUUUUCCUCUCCACUACCCCAUUCUGCUGUGGUGUCCUAGGGGCUGAAUAGAUGUGGUUGAUUCCAUUUGAUUCACAAUAAUUUUGAAAAAGAUCAUUUUGGAAUUCACCUCCAUGAUCACUUUUUAUUGAAACAAUUUUCAAAUCAUUCUCAUUUUGUACUAAAGCAGCAAACUUUUUGAAAACAGAGAAUGUAUCACUUUUAUGAGCUAAAAAGUAAGUCCAUGUGAAUCUAGAAUAAUCAUCAACCAGCACAUAUCCAUACAGGUUUCCACCUAAACUCUUAACUUGGGCAGGUCCAAAAAGGUCCAUGUGAACUAGUUGUAAAACUCUAUUUGUUCUAACCAAGUCUAUAGAGGGAAAUGGAGUCUUAACCAGUUUACUUUUCUCACAUGCAUCACACAGUCUAUCUUUAGAGAACUUCCUAUUUGGUAGACCUAAGACUAACUGUUUGCUGACAAGUUUAUUCAAAUGAUUUAUGUGUAUAUGAGCAAUUCUUUUAUGCCAAAGCCAUGUUUCAUCUGAGUUGGAUAACAAGCAGCAUACAGCACUAGGUACAGAAUUGAAAUCCAACAUGUAAAUGUUGUUGAUUCUGUCCCCAAUUAGCUUUAUGUGUUUGUCAUCUUUAUGCUCAAUAAUGCAAGAUUGUGAUGAAAAACUUACUUGAAAACCUUUGUCACAUAGCUGGCUUAUACUCAGUAAGUUGUGCUUUAAUCCUUCAACAUAUAGCACAUUUUUGAUUACUGCAGUUGAUUCAUCGCCUACAUCACCAAUUCCAAUGAUUUUUCCUCUGUUGUUAUCACCAUAUUUGACAAAGCCUCCUUCCUUUAAUGUCAGGGAAAGGAAUUUGGAUUUGUCACCAGUCAUGUGCUUUGAGCAUCCGCUAUCUAGAUACCAUGAGUGUUUCGUGGAUGUCAAGCACACCUGCAAUACAAAAUCAGAAUUUUGUUUUAGGUCCCCAAUUUAAAUUGGGUCCUGGUUGGUUAGUGUCAAACACAGAUUUCUUUUCUAUCCAAACUAGCUUCCAUCCUUGAUUGGCUAAUUUUUUAAAUUUGCAAUUAGACACAAAAUGUCCCUUUCUGCAACAGAAAUGACAUCUGCCAUCAAAGGAUGAAUGUUUAUUUGGUUUAGUAAAGAUGUCAUACAUACUCUUAGCAAUAGCAGAUUUUUGACCAUGUUUGACAUUUCUGGUUUGCAUAUAACCAAUACCAGAUCUGUUUUUAUUUUUUCUUUUGACAUGCAUAUUUGGUGUAUAUCCUAAACCAGAUUUUUCAUGAACAUGUCUUUGAUUGCUAAGUAUGACAUUUAGCUUAUCUUUACUAUUUGCAAAAUUUAAUAAAUCAGAUUUUAAUGAUGCAACAGUAUUUUCAAGUUCAAUGCACUUUGCAGAUUUUUCUUGUGAAUCCUUUUUCAGUUGUUCACAUAAAUUUUCAAUUUCUUUAUGCUCAACAUUCAUUUGUUCAAGCAUUUUCUUUGUGCUUAACAACUGUUUUAUGGAAUUCACAUAAUCAUCAUGCAGUUCAUUGAAAGCUUCUUGAAGUUCAUCAUAGGUUGGAUUAGAUUGUGAACUAACCUCAUUUUCUGAUUCUGAAUCUGUAUCUGCCAUGAGACACAAGUUGACUUCUUCUUCAUCAGAAGAUGCAGAGGAUUCAUCGUUAUCAUUCCAUGCAAUAUAAGCUUUUCUGGUUUUGGUGACUGGUUCCUUGCCUUUUGAUUUUGUAGCUCUAUUCUUGUUUUGCAAUUUGUAGCAUUCUGACUUUAUGUGACCAGUUUUACCACAUUCAUAGCAUGUAAUGGUCUUGUUGUCAGUAGUCUUGGAGCUAGAUGGUUUUCUGAAUUUGUUGUCUUUCUUCUUCAGAAACUUCUUGAAUUUCUUGACAAGCAACCCGAUUUCCGGCUCUUCAGAUUCACUACUGGAUUGAUCUGAGCAGCUAUCUGAUUCAGUUUUCGAUUGCUGGGCUUGAACCUUCAGGGAUAGUCCUUUCUUUUUGCGGCUUUCCAUCUCUGAUUCGUCCAGUCGAUGUAAUUCCAUUUCGUGUUCUCUUAGUUUACCAAACAAAGUUGCAGUCGUCAUCUUUGCUAGAUCUUUAGAUUCUGCUAUGGCUGUUAUCUUUGGCUGCCAUUCUCUGGUUAGACAACUCAUAAUUUUUCCAAUCUGCUGUUCGUUAUCCACUUGCUUUCCCAAUGCAUGAAGAUUAUUCACAAUGUGUGUGAAUCUGGUUUGCAGAUCACUGAUGGAUUCGUCCCUUUUCAUGCUGAAUAAUUCAUAUUCGUGCAUCAGUGUGUUUACGCGAGCUCUCUUCACGUCUGUGGUUCCUUCAUGUGUUUCUUGAAGAAUGUCCCACAUUUCUUUUGCUGACUUGCAGUUUGACACUCUAAAAAAUUCUUCUGCACAAAGAGCAGAUGUUAUAAUGUUCUUAGCCUUUGCAUUAUAACCUACCUUUUUCUUGUCAUCAUCUGACCAGUCGGCUCUAGGCUUGAGAAUCAUUGAGUCAUUCGUUCCUGCAAUCUUGGGAAUAUAUGGACCGUUUUCAACAGCGUCAAGGAUGUCUAUGCCACUGGCUUCCAAGAAGAUUAGCAUCCUGUGCUUCCAGUACAUAUAAGCUGUUCCGUUGAAAGCUGGAGGUCUUGCUAACGAUGCGCCUUCUCCCAGAAAAUCGUUUGAGGCCAUAGUGCUUUUAUGAGUAUUACCUCUCGAAAAGUUAGGCUCUGAGGCCAAUUGUUGGUAUAUAUGACCUCGUAAUAAGCGGAAUAUAUCAGAAUGUAUCAGUUCUUUAUGAAAUUAAAUCAAUUUCAUACACACAGCGGAAAUUAAAUUGUGGCAUACAAGAUUAGCAAGUUUUAUUAGAUUGAUAUGAGAUUAAUCAAGAUGCAUACAAGUCAAAUUAUCAGAUUAAACAAUAUUACUUAUUACAGAAUAUGUUUAACAUGCAUCUAAUUUUAAUCACAUAUACAGAUAUAUCAAGAUAGUAAAUCAAAGGAGAUAAGGGUUAGAGAAGAUUGCACCAAGGAUUUAUACUGGUUCAGUUGUCCACUUGACAACCUACAUCCAGUCCUGCAAAUCCAAACGGAUUUCAGAUUUUCUUCUCCAAUAGAAAGAAUCAAUUACAGAUUGUCCAGUUUCCUCCCCGAAACCUAUCUAUCUUAAUGAUCUCUUUCCUAUUGAUCACCCUCUGAUCCUUGUAGAUACUCAGCAACCUAUCACAGAAUCAAAGUACAACUCUUUCUUGUUGAGCACUCUCACCCAAGAAAGUAGUCACCAGUUUCUAGCUGGAUUUUCUCGCUUUGUUUUUGUUUCAAAGAAUUAUUACAAACAGAAUACAGAAAGAACAAAAAGUAGUCUUCAAUCUUGGUCAAAAUGGCUUCUCACAAUUCUGGAUAUCAAAGAUUUGUUUAUGAGAAUCCUUGUCUUUCAAGAUCACUUUUCCAGCUAUCUUUUUGAUUGUUGAUAAUCCUCUUUUUCUAUUUGAUCUGAAAAAGUAAUCUCAAUGUAUUAACCAAGUGUUAUUGUGUAUCAAGAAUAUUCAAUGUAUAUUUCAGAUUGAUAUCAUUGUUAUUAUCAUUCAUGUUAUUGAAAGACAGAUUGAAGACAGUUUAUAUAGUUUCUGAAAAACACAUUAAUCAAUCGAUUUACCAAUCGAUUUCGUAAAGUGAUAAACCAGUCUAAUCGAUUUGCCAAUCGAUUAUCGUGUGUCUUGUUUUUCUUGAAUCUUGAAACUAUAUAACCCAAUCGAUUUACCAAUCGAUUCUUUAAACAACAUUUCUCAGUGAUUAUGUUAAGACUGAUAUGAAUCGAUUUCGUAAUCGAUUGCAGAUGUUAUGUUCAAACUGAAACACAUAUCAAUCGAUUCCAUAAUCGAUUUAUCAAAUCUUCAUAAUCGAUUAACAAAUACUUAAAAUCGAUUUGGUCACACGCUCAGAGUUCACUGGGUUUUCAAAAGGUUUUGUCAAUCGAUUUGCCAAUCGAUUGAGUUUAAGUCAGUGACUCAGCUAUUUUGAUACUAAUCGACGUGCCAAUCGAUUUGUAUGUAUUUGUCUGAAAACGUUCUUACCUGGGAUUUGGUUCAAUCGAUUUCCCAAUCGAUUUCGACCAAAUUUAACUUGAUUGAAAUAUUACAACAUAGAUUGUCCAAUCGAUUUGUAUGUCACAGGAAAAGUUAUUUUGCAAGUGAUUUUUAAGUAAUCGAUUUGCCAAUCGAUUACCCUUAAAACUGGGUUUCCACUGUGACUUAUCCAAUCGAUUUCCCAAUCGAUUUAUUUCAAUCAGGUUUACUUUGUGAAUUGUAUAAUCGAUUUGUCAAUCGAUUACCCUCAAAACUGGGGUGCCACUGACUUGUGCAUUUUCAAUUUCUAAUUCAGUCAGUCGAUUGCCCAAUCGAUUAUACCAACACAAACAGUUGUGUUUCCUUACACCUUUGUUAUGAAAUCGAUUUCCCAAUCGAUUUGCUUUAGUCAAAAGUCAACUUUUGUUGAUUUCUUGUGUUUCAAGCAACUUGUUCCAAGUGUGUAGGAUUUGAUUGUUGUUCCUGAAAUCUUGCUCAAUUCAAAUAUUAGAUGUAUCAUGUAUUGUAUGAACAUUGUUGAAAUAUUAAUUAUGUCAAAAUUAGGAAUCAAAGGAUCAAAAUCCAACAAAGAGGAAGUUCAACAAACAGAGCAACGCACUACAGAAUUACAGAUGCAGCUAGCAACAUUGGCAAAAAGUGUUGCUUCCAUACAGGCUGAGUCAUCCCGUUGUCGUCGUCAUCCAGAUUAUGACGAGGAUGAGUCUAGCGAUGAUGACGGCGAGGAGCAAUACUGGUUUUAGUUUUAGUUUCGUAUAGUAGUUAUGACUACAUAAUUUGUUUAGACUUGUAGGCAUUAUCUAUAUAUAUUUCUACGAUAGUGUCGUUAUGUGUAUUUUAAAACUUAUGGCAGUAACAAUGUGAUUAUUUUGAGAAUCAUUGUAGUGUAAAUUGUCCUUAUUUUGAGACUUAUGGAAGUCAGAAUGUGUAUUUUGAAAACACUAUUUACAUAAUAUUUCACUUUGUUUUGACAAUGAUGUUUUAAUAUGCUUACAAUUUAUUUUAAAUAUAUAUUAAAAAAUACAGGAAACUGUUAAAAAACAAAAAUAGAAUUAAAAUCAUUUUUUCAUUAACCACGGACAAUUCAUGGAUAAAAUUAUCAAUAUCAAAUAUAAAAUAGUAGACUUUGUCACGGAUGGUUCGUGAGUAAUGUAACUUACGAAUUUUCCGUCGGUAAGUAUCUACUAUUUUAUCUACGGCAUCUACGAGUAACGUUACCCACGGAGACUUAGUGAGUCAUAUUACCCACGGACAAUCCUUAAGUAAGUGUGUCCCACGGCUUGUCCGUCAGUAAAUAUUUUCCUACGAGCGAUUUAGCUAGGAACUCGUGUCCGUAGGUAAUCCGUGCGUAAUUUUACUUUACCUAUGGACAGUCCGUGGGUAAAGAUAAAAUUUGCCGUAGGUAAUAACAGUUUUUCUUGUAGUGAGGGGAGCUUUGUUGAACCAUUGCUAAUUUUUGUUUUUUUUUAAUUUAAAAUUGUUCUCAAAUAUCAAUGUAUAUCAUCAUUAAAAAGGGAGAGAUUGUGAGAUAAAAAUCUAUUAAAAGUACAAAAGAUCUUACUUGUUGUGAUGAUAACAAAAUAAGUUUGUGAAAAAAAUUUUAGGCAUUAAUGUUUUAUUUAAGUGUGUAGUUCCAAGACCAUAAUUAAUACGUAGGAUAUUAGAAUAUAUCCUCUAGUGAAUUAUCAAAAAGACAUAAAAAUUGUGCAUUCAAAACUGAUGAAAAUGAGCCUCUAAAACACUGCCUCUGAUGAUACAAAUCAUUAGAUUCCCUCUACCUAUGAUGGUACAAGAAGGUUUGUCAAGACUUCAUCUCAUUUUGAUUCAGUUUUUGUAAGACUCAUAAUUUUAAAGUAUACUUUAUGUAUUUUAGUGUAUUUUGGUAUUGAACUCGGAGGCUUUUUAGCCAAAGUUAUUAAUAUUUUGGAGUUUAUAUGACCAAAGAGAUAUUUUGAUGCCGAUUAGAAUUACUUGUCGAUGAAUAAAUUAAAUUAAUUGCGGUGAAUCUUUUACGAAGAAUUUAAUGCGUUACGGGUGAAAUGGGAAUUUAACAAAUAUCUAGAUAUUUUGAGAUAUUUGUUAAAAGUAAUUAAUAUAUAUAUAUACUUAAAUAAUCACACAAAUCAUCAGCCACUUAGGCAACCACAAAGAUAACAGUGUUUAAAAACACAAACCACCAACCACUUAGGCAACCACAAAGAUAACAAUAUUUAAAAACACAAAUCACCAGCCACUUAGGCAACCACAAAGAUAAUGAUAUUUAAGACACAAGUCACCAGCCACUUAAGCAACCACAAAGAUAGCAAUAUUUAAAACACAAAUCACAAGCCACUUAGGCAACCACAAAGAUAAAAUAUUUUAGAUUAAAUUUUUUUAAUCACAUAAGACAUCAAAUUUAUAUUCUCAUGGAUGUGAACAAAUAUGCACGUGAACAAAUAUCUCAAAAUCACCACUUUCAUUUUAAUAAUCCAUAAGAUUCGAUUUGACUACGUGUUAUUGAUAACCAUUAAAACUCAUAUCACCAAGAAUACAAUAACAACAUAAAUUUNNNNNNNNNNNNNNNNNNNNNNNNNNNNNNNNNNNNNNNNNNNNNNNNNNNNNNNNNNNNNNNNNNNNNNNNNNNNNNNNNNNNNNNNNNNNNNNNNNNNNNNNNNNNNNNNNNNNNNNNNNNNNNNNNNNNNNNNNNNNNNNNNNNNNNNNNNNNNNNNNNNNNNNNNNNNNNNNNNNNNNNNNNNNNNNNNNNNNNNNNNNNNNNNNNNNNNNNNNNNNNNNNNNNNNNNNNNNNNNNNNNNNNNNNNNNNNNNNNNNNNNNNNNNNNNNNACUACAAACAUAUUUAUCAAGAUAUAAUAAUAAAAAUAUACCACUAUAAUUAAUUUCAUCAAGAUAGAGGUAUUAAAAAAAAUAAUCAAAGCAUUACAGUUAAUUUCUCUACGACGAAAAUAAAAUCAACCUUUUUCUUUUAAGACAUCCAGACAUCAUAUCAAUAUCUUACGAAUCGCUAAUUUAAUAUCUAGUCUAACUCAGCAUGGGGAAAAGCCCUUACCUUGGACGAUUUCCUUCCACGUAACACUAUAUUGCCCUCGAAAAAAUCUCAUAAAGAUGAAGGAACAAAAGCUUAGAGCUUCCACCAGAAAGAGAGGUAAUAUGUGGGUGGUUGUUUAAGUGACUUGAAAAUAUUUGAGAUAAAGAAAAUAUAAUGUUGCGAAUGGAGACGUGAAGCUGAUUAGAGAAAGAGAGUAAUUUUUCUCAUUGAGGUUAAUUGCACACAUCAAUAAUGUAUUCAAUUGAAAUAAUAUCAUUCAAUGACCAACCGUUAUGAAUUAAUUGACAUUCAUGUACACUUAUUUCGAAGCUCAUGAUGUUGUGGUGAUCGUGUGGGAAUUGCUAAGUGUUAAGAUGCGGAAUUGUGUAUGAAUGAUAUUGAGUUAGUUUAUGUGUUUUUGGAAGAAUAUGCAGGGAAAUCGAUUUCCCAAUCGAUUGGAUGAGUUACAGGGACUUCCCUAAUUUGACAUAAUCGAUUUGCCAAUCGAUUUUAUGAUAUGUUUUUUAAAACCAUUUAAGAAAUCGAUUUGGAAAUUGAUUUGGUCAUACAGGAAUUCAGCAAAACUGACAAAAUCGAUUUGGAAAUCGAUUGGCAUUAAGUCAGUGGCUCAGCUAUUCUGUCAAUCGAUUGCCCAAUCUAUUGAUUUAAGCCCAGAGUGCAGAUUUCACUAAAAACCUUCAGGAAAUCAAUUUGGAAAUCGAUUGACUUAGUAGAAAUUCUUAUUUUGAGUUAGAUAACAGAUUGCUCAAUUGAUUUAUCAAUGUCUUGGUCAGUUAUGUAUUACUUGAUGAAUUGAGAACUUUAUUUUGAUUUCAUUUUUAAUUGGCAAGCAUUAUAUGAACUUUUAGCAUAUGGAAAAUCCUUUUAAGGUGCAUGCUUAAUUGAAAGGUUAUUUUGUGCAUUUAAAAACUUAAAUGCUAUGUGUUAACUGUUAAUUUCGGUUGGUGACCCUUUACAACUAUUGUGGAAAUCUGGGCUUUGCCCUCAGAUGAGAGACAGGACGAUCCUACCGGUUCGUACCCUACGGACGGGAAUGNNNNNNNNNNNNNNNNNNNNNNNNNNNNNNNNNNNNNNNNNNNNNNNNNNNNNNNNNNNNNNNNNNNNNNNNNNNNNNNNNNNNNNNNNNNNNNNNNNNNNNNNNNNNNNNNNNNNNNNNNNNNNNNNNNNNNNNNNNNNNNNNNNNNNNNNNNNNNNNNNNNNNNNNNNNNNNNNNNNNNNNNNNNNNNNNNNNNNNNNNNNNNNNNNNNNNNNNNNNNNNNNNNNNNNNNNNNNNNNNNNNNNNNNNNNNNNNNNNNNNNNNNNNNNNNNNNNNNNNNNNNNNNNNNNNNNNNNNNNNNNNNNNNNNNNNNNNNNNNNNNNNNNNNNNNNNNNNNNNNNNNNNNNNNNNNNNNNNNNNNNNNNNNNNNNNNNNNNNNNNNNNNNNNNNNNNNNNNNNNNNNNNNNNNNNNNNNNNNNNNGGAUUCAUAUAUUUUGAGAAACUUUUCCGCUGCUUGUAAAUUAUAAUGACUCAAUUAUUUAUCCAAAGGUAUUUCCUUAUUUAUUUAAUUCUCUAAUUUAUUUUAAUUUCUUUUGGAAAAAAAAAUACACCAUCGCUUUGAAAAUCGGGGUGUUACAUUGUGGUAUCAGAGCUUUGGUUUGGUUUUCUUUGGGGGCUGUGGAACCUUUGGUUAUAGAUUGUAGGUCAACCAGUAGGUUGGGAGUUGUUAUUUGAUCAUGUGUCGGUUUAGGUGGUUUGGGUUGUCAGGUCCAAAAUAGUUAUUAUGUGUUGAUAUAUUCGAAACUUAGUUUUGGAAUUAUUCGAAGUGGUGUUAACACUUCUCCUUGAUGUUGGUUUUUCGGAAACACUACCUCCUAGAGAGAACGACGCUGCAAGGAUGAACGUCAGUAGGGAUGAUCAAAUGGUUGGAGCUACAAAUAACAUGGAGGUUUUGUUGUUGCACGAACUGCUGCAAAGACUCUGCGGGAUCUGGAGAAGAGGAAAAGAGAGAUUUGUGCUCUUAAGAUUAAGAGGGUUAGAAUAUUUUCGUCGUUACCAUCCUCCAAAGUUCAAGGGUGAUGAGGACUCAGGAAAAGAGUUGACUAGUGGAUUCAAGAAGUGGAAAAGAUCUUCGAGAUGACGGAUUGUCAGGCAGAGUUGAAGCAAAUCAUGACAGCAUGGAAUUUAUAAAAUGGUUCCAAGGACACAGAAGCUAUGUGUUGGUGUAAACUCGAAGAUGAUGAGUAUGGAUAGAUUAACAUUAGACUAAUAAGAGAUUUCAAGUAAAGAUCUAAGUUGAGGACUUUUGUUAAGAAAAGUUUUAGAUGUUUUCCUGGUAGAUUUCAGGAUGAAACUGGAUGAAGUUUGACAACUGUCAAAGAGAUGUGAACAUCAUGGAAUUGUUGAGAAGAUGAGGCUUCCAUUUGGGAUAACAUUUGGUGCUUAGGUGUCAAUGAAAGAGACUGAUAUUGAAGUUAAGGGAGCGUUGCACAUUAGGAGUGAAUACUCCUUUGGAUAGAUAAAAUACGCUUUGAGGAAUUUUCGAUACCUUGAGGGGAAAAGUCGAGCAUUCGAGUUAGACUAGAUUCGCAACUUGGAUUAUUAAGUAUGAAUCUCAUAACGAGUGUAGGAGUGAGACCAUCUGACCAAUUGCCUCUAAUAGUUUUCCUCUAGAUAUGAAGCAAACAUAUGACUUUCUUUGUCUUUGAUAAGUGUUGAGACAAAAUCUCUUUCAAACGGUUUUAAUAAUAAAAAAAAUUAUUUAAAAGAUCAUGAUUGUGGUUAAUAACUAAUAUGUGGCAUUGAGUGAAUUCAUAUUAGAAAACAGGUUGCUCAUCAUUAAGAUAAAAAGAAGAAAAAUCUGACUAGAGGAUAGACAUACAAGAGGAUGAACCUUCAAAGUUGCAAAAUAUUCAUCCUCAUUGAAACAAUGAUUUUUAGUCAUAAAUAGAAGAUAAAUCAGUGUCAAAGCAUGAAUAAAAAAACAAUUUAAAUGAAGAGGUCAGAGGCCAGAUUUUACAUGUACGAGGAUUGACUACAAGAGGAUGGAUCUAUAGUCCACAUCAUCCUCAGAUGUUGAAAACAACCCAACACAUCAUUCUCAAAUGUUGAAAACGACUUAACAUAUCAAAUACAUAAAGGUUGUAGCUAACAAGACAAAAAUAUAGUCUUACAUGUCUUGAAGAAUGAAAAAGGAAAAGGACAUCUCGUGUCCAAGUUUCUAGGAAGUUUGAGCCUCCUAUACGAGGAUGGACUGAAUCAGUCCAAGGAUAGCUGGAUGACAAUUCUGUAAUUAUGAUCUCUAUAAAAAGUCAGGAGCUCUUCAGUAUCAAAUACACAACAACAUUGCAUAAAAAGAAUAAGAUUCUUAAACCUAUCAAGACUAAUUUUCAUCCUCUCUUUAUACUUUUUAUAGUCUAACACUAGAUCUUUGAAAUAUCUUUUUAGAAAGUGUUAAGUAAAGAGAAACAUCAUACUCAUAUCACUUGGUAAUUUCCAUAAGAGUUACACUUGGAAAUAAUUGAAACUUGUAAGAAACAAGGUUGUAAGCUUGGUGAGGCUAAAGAAUACAUAAAGUGUAACCAACCUCAGUGAGAGGUUAAUCAGUUUGAUCAUUAGUAAAAACUCACAAGUGUGUGAGGACUGGACGUAGCCUUCAUUGGGUGAACCAAUAUAAAAGUUAGGUGUCUCAUCCUUUAUACUUUCUCUUUCAUUUAUUCAACCCAAAUUUAAAGGCUUAAAUUUAUAUCCUCUGAUUGUCAUUCUCUCAGAGAGGAUCGUGAUUCAAAACACGUGAGAAAAUUUUUAAACACCAAUAUCCCUAUUCAACCCCCAUUUUAGUGAUGCAUCUUGCCAAUGCCUCUGGUCAAGAAAAGUAUGUUUCUAAUCAUUGAUUCUGGUCAAGAAAAUAUGCCUCUCGUACUCGUGAUUCUGAUCAAGAAAUCAUGACUUUGGUGUUUGCCUCUCGUACAACAAACUUGAUUAUGGGGAUUGUCUCUGGUCCAAUAAUUGUGUCUAUGGUUCAUUAAUUGUGCCUCUAGUGCCCCUACCUCUAGUUCACUAAACGUCCAUCUGGUUGUUCUUGCCUCUAGUCAAGUAAUCACGCUUUUGGUUGUUAUUUGCCUCUGAUCAAGUAUAAUAUGUUUCAACAAAACUGAAAUUCUCGAAACACUUAAAAAAUACUAAGUCUCAAUUUUAUGCUCAACGGUUAGAAUUGAACUCAACGGUUAUAAUUUUGAAGACAAUGAAGCACCAUGUUGAAGGAAAAACAUACCAUACCAUGAACGAAAACAAGACCAUUCCUUGAAGGACAUUCAACCAUACUUUGAAGGACAAAAGCAAUGCUGCAAAUGUUUCUAUAAAUAGAACCCGAUUAUGACUUCAAACAACAAAUACAAUCACAACAACUUACAACAUUCAUUCAACGUAAGUUACUCUCAAAUCCGCAAGCACAUACAUUGAGUUAGAAAAGGUGUCAAAUUUUUCUAAGUGUUGAGAAAAUAAAAUAUGAGAGCUUAUAUUACAAACACACUCUAGUUAGAGAGAAAACUUUGAAACCCACAAACACUUUUUAUUUGUAACCAAGUCCAGUAAUGGUUAAUUGUGUUCCUCAACAGCUUGACGACACUAAGCUGAAAGUUGAGAAGACUUAUUAUUACUUGUAAACUCAAUCUGGCAGUGGCUGUCAUUUCCUCAACAACUUGACGGAACAAAGUUGGAGGUGAGAAGAUUGAAAAAAGUCAUUAUGACUAACCAAGUUUUCAAGUGUAAGUUUGAAUCAUAGUGGAUUAAAGUCUUCCAAGGAAGGAACUGGACGUAACUAUUAGGUUAGCAGUGAAUCAGGAAAAAAUUACUUGAGUCAUUUAUUCUAUCAUUUCUAUUUUAUCACUUCAGUUUUAAGCCAUUCAAAAUAUUUACAAAAUGUAACACAAUCCAAACACCCUAUUUCUUGUGUUUCUUGACCAAAAAAGAUAUGGUUUUUUAAUUUACAAAUUUUAGAUUUUAAUGAAAAAAAUUGUCUUAAUUGUUAUUUGGUCCCUAACCACAUCAUCAGGGUUUUCGGGUUUUAGUUUUUGACAUACCAUCACACAUGUCAUCGAGUUAACCAUGUUAACAUUCCAAUUAAUUCCAUGAACUAAAAUGACAUACCUGAUUUGGUCCGAAUCAAAUAUAUUCAUUUUUAUUGAUUAAAUUAUAAUUCAUAUGUCUCCUAAAAAACUAGAAAUAUGGUAUUAUUUUUUAAAUUAUUAAAGACUUUGAGAUGGUUGUGGUUACUCCAUGUCUCAACUAAACUCUGCUCAUGAACACGACUCGAAUAACCUUAUUUCAUAAACAAAAUCACAUUACAGUUGAAAAUGUAAUUUAUGUUUUUCUAUAUGAAUUAUUAUUGAGUAUGGAAGGAGAAUUUUUUUUAUUUUCUGUUUACUUGUUUUAUUUCUUCGAGUAAAAUAAAUAAAUAAAAAAUAAAUUAUCAAAUAAAAAUAAAGAAGUAAAAAUGAUGUGCCUAGCUAGGAAGGAAAAAGCUUGAGCAGAGUAAUGAAUUGAAAGGGCUAGUGGCUACUAUGAUGAGGUAACUAAUAUUGUGUUUAAAAUAAAAUAGAAAAGAAAAGAUUAGCUUAUUAUGUAUUCUUUGUGGGAAGAACAUUCGUUUUCUCUGGAAUGAAACAAUACUUGAUGGAAAAACUGCAUCUAUGUUGCUCGCUUUCGCAUUGUGGCUGAAUGGAGGAACAGAGAAGUGUUUUUUGUUAGUGACCUAAUCAAGUACCACACUGACUAUAAUCAUUGAUAUCCAAGUGUUUAUAUAACGCUACAUCACAGAACUGCUUGUCCCCUCGGGGACAUCCUAUAAAAUUGGAACGAUACAGAGAAGAUUAGCAUGGCCCCUGUGCAAGGAUGACACUGGUCCAAAUUUUUUUGACUUUUUUUUUUCUACCGAUUUCUUCUUCUCUGUUUCUGAAAAUGCAUUUUGUUUGUCUGAUUUCUUAUGCGUUGUUUUUUUCUUCUUUCUCUUGUUAUUUUUCACAAUACAUACUUUCUUUAACUCUACAGUUUUCAGGUUUAGUUUUCUAACUCUCUUCACUUUCAUGCUCUUUAACUAUUGGUCCCUUUUCCAAUUUUAUAUGCCAACAUUGUUAAAAUGCAGUCACUUGUUUUCUCAAUUUCAAUUUUAAUUUUUGAACUUUAUAAUUUUGGUUGUGGUUCAAUAAGCUAAAUUAAGUCACGUAAACUUCCUUGUAUGUCAUCUGUUUGAUAAAAUUUCACACUGAAAAUUCUGUUAACUUUCGGUCGCUCUUUAAAUUGCUUUUGUCCGUCUUUAGAUAUGAUCUAUUGCUAAAUUCAGUUAAGGAUAAUAUGUUUAUCCGACUAACUUGAGCUAAAUUAAGAUCAUAUUGUUAAUAAUCCAUGUCAAUUACAUGAUGAAUAACUAAAGGCGGAAGCGUACCUGUGGGAAUUGCCAUUAAUGAAAUCCUGGGAUGAUGAUUAUAGAGCCAAUGAGUUGGGUGAUCUUCCUCAGCAAAACACCCUGAAGACCUUGCUCUCUUGAUGGGGAUAGAGAGAACCAGAGAGUUUUCUCCUUUAGGGUUUUGAAACUGAAUAGUCUUGUUGUGUUUGCCUUGGGGACCAUUACCCCUAUAUAUAACUAUUUUUAGUUAUAUCACAAAUUGCAGUAUUUCCAAUUCAGCCCCUCAUUAAAUUAGAAACUGCCUGGUAUCUACACUAUUAAUUUUCAUAACCAUUAUGCUCUUUAGCCAUAAACUAUUAUAUUUUAUUUGACCCCUAGUUUAUUGGCUAAUUAUAUAAUGACCCUAACACACUUUAUUAAUUAAUUACAUAUGUGACCCAUAAAUCUUACAAUCUCCCACUGGUCACACAUGUAUCCUUAGGAGUGUGUUAGACUUUAUGACGUCAAAAAUGUCAUUAUAAUUACCUUGAGUAUAAUCCAAAUUGUCCCGUCCAUUAAUCAUAUCAGCACAUGGAACCAAAGAGGCUUUCGUCAUAAUAAGCAUAACUAAACCCAUCAAUGAUCACCCGUACUGACACAACUAAAUGACAUAGACCCAUUAUGAAAAGUGUAGCAUGAAAAUUACAUGAAGUUGGUCAAUGCAUGUCAAUUUUCAACUGGUCCUACUUUAUCGAAUGAGAUCAUACCAUAACUUAAAUGUACAAAGUAACCAAAAACUGAAUACUUUAAACUUUAUUUCUGAUCAGAAAGUCCAAAUACAAUGUAUUUGUACUUUACAAUUAAACAUAGAACAUGAAUUACAUAAUGGACGAAACUCCCACUAAAAUCAAGAUUCCUCAAACUGUAGCACACCCAUGUGAGCAGUAUGCUCAUGAAAGACCUUGGGUGGUAGACCUUUAGUGAGUGGAUCCGCAAUCAUGGAGUUUGUCCUUAAGUGUUCUAUGGAUAUCUGUCCACUUUGUACCUUCUCUUUAACAACUAGGAACUUAAUGUCAAUGUGCUUUGACUUGGUUGAGCUCCUAUUAUUGUUAGAAUACAGGACUGCUGAUCUAUUGUCACAAUACAACUUGAGUGGUCUUUCAAUCCCUUCAACUAUUUGCAGCCCCGUGACAAAAUUUCUCAGCCAAAUGCCCUGGUCAGAUGCCUCAUGAAUUGCUACGAAUUCUGCUGCCAUGGUUGAUGAAGCAGUAAGACCUUGCUUGGCACUACGCCAAGAAACUGCUCCACCAGCUAACAGAAAGACAUAGCCUGAAGUUGAUCUUAAGCUGUCUUGGCAUCCCGCAAAAUCCGAGUCAGAGUACCCAGUGAUCUCUAACUGGUCUGACCUCCUAUAUGUGAGCAUGUAGUUUCUUGUUCUCUUCAAAUAUCUCAUGACCCUCUUGGCUGCUUUCCAAUGGUCAAGACCUGGAUUGCUUAAAUAUCUGCCUAAAAUCCCUACUAUGAACGCUAUGUCUGGACGCGUACAUACUUGGGCAUACAUAAGACUCCCUACAGCUGAAGCAUAAGGAAUCUUUUGCAUUUCUUGAAUUUCCAAACUUCCUUUAGGGCACUGUUUGAGACUAAACUUGUCUCGCUUAGCAACUGGGGUGUCCCCUGGUUUGCAAUCCUAUAACCCAAACCUUUUGAGAACCUUAUCGAUAUAGCUCUUUUGUGACAAUCCAAGAAUACCUCGAGAUCUGUCUCGGUGUAUCUGAAUUCCUAAUACAAAAGAGGCGUCACCAAGAUCUUUCAUCUCAAAAUGCUUUGAUAGAAAUUUCUUAGUUUCGUGCAAUAUGCCUAUAUCGUUAGUGGCAAGCAGUAUGUCAUCAACAUACAAGACCAGGAAAAUAUGUCUGCUCCCACUGAACUUAUGAUACACACAAUCAUCAACUGUAUUCAUCUCAACUGAAUUACUUGAUGAAAUUUAUGGUACCAUUGACGAGAAGCUUGUUUUAGCCCAUAAAUGGAUUUUCUUAGUUUGCACACCAUAUUCUUUGGGUCUCCCAACACAAAGUUUUCUGGCUGCACCAUAUAGAUCGUCUCAUCAAUGUCGCCAUUGAGAAAAGCUGUUUUUACAUCCAUUUGAUGAAGCUCCAAAUUAAAGUGAGCAACAAGAGCCAUGAUUAUUCUUAAAGAGUCCUUCGAUGAAACCGGAGAGAAAGUCUCUUUAUAAUCAAUCCCUUCCUUUUGAGUAUAACCCUUAGCUACAAGACGUGCCUUAUAUCUCUCCACAUUACCAUUGGAAUCCCGCUUGGUUUUAAAAAUCCAUUUGCAACCAAUGGGUUUCUUUCCUUCAGGUAAUGGGAUAAGUUCCCAAACUGAAUUGUCUUGCAUAGACUUGUACUCCUCAUUCAUUGCUUCGAUCCACUUAUCUGAACGAGAAUCUUGCAUGGCUUGAUGAAAGUUGACUGGGUCGUCUUCCGUCAUGCCAACAUUUUCCUCUACCUCAUUGAUAAAUACUACAUAAUCAUCCGAAAUAGCAUUUUUCCUUUCUCUAGUGGAUCUCCGCAAUGGAGCUGGCUCUUGAGGCACUUGUUCUUGAGGAUCUUGAAUUUGAUCUGGAUUUUGUUCUUCCUGAACAACCAGAUCAUCUUGAGUUUGUUCAAUAAUGGGAAAGUCAAUUGGUGGAAGAAUCAGUUCUGGAAUUGUUACCGAUUCUUCCUCAAAGACAAAAUCUUUAACCUUAAUCUUCCCCCCAAACUCAAUAUCCUCAAAGAACGUUGCCGUUCCCGUCUCAAAAAUUGUUCUCAAAUUAGGAUCAUAAAAUUUAUAGCCCCUUGAUUUUUCUGAGUACCCUAUAAAAUAGCUGCUAAUUGUUCGGGGUUCAAAUUUCUUUUCAUUCGGCCUAUAAGGCCUUGCCUCAGCUGGACAUCCCCAAACAUGAAGGUGCUUCAGACUAGGCUUACGCCCAAUCCAAAGCUCAUAAGGUGUUUUAGCCGCUGCCUUAGUUGGUACUCUAUUAAGAAUGUAUGCUGCUGUUUUUAAUGCCUCUCCCCAGAGUGACUCUGGCAAGGUGGAAUGACAAAUCAUACUCCUUACCAUAUCCUUAAGAGUCCUGUUUCGUCUUUCAGCUACACCAUUCAUGCUGGGUGACCCCGGCAUAGUGUAUUGUGGGACGAUUCCACAUUCCUCUAGGUAUUUGGCAAAUGGUCCCGGACGUUGUUCACCUGAACCGUCAUAUCUGCCGUAGUAUUCACCACCACGAUCAGAUUUGACCUUUUUAAUUCUUUUAUUAAGUUGAUUCUCAACUUCUGCCUUAAAGGAUUUGAACACGUCUAUUGAUUGGGACUUUUCGUGAAUUAGGUAAAGGUAGGCAUAUCUAGAAUAAUCGUCUAUGAAUGAUAUAAAAUAUUGUUGACCAUUCCAAGAAGGAGUUGGAAAUGGCCCACAGAUGUCCGUAUGUAUCAAUUCUAAGACGUCUGUAGCUCUAUAUGCGCCUAAUUUCUUAUCUUUAGUCUGUUUUCCUUUAAUGCAUGCUACACAAACGUUAAAGUCUGUGAAGUCAAUGGAAUCUAAAAUUCCAUCUGACACAAGUCGUUCAACUCUAUUUUUAGAGAUGUGACCUAGACGCUUGUGCCAAAGCACCCCUGAAUUGAAAUUGUCAAUUUUCCGCUUAGUACCACGUGAUUCCACAUUCAAGGUUUCAUUAUAGUUAGCCACAGUUUCCAACAAAUAAAGAUUAUCAUAACCAGAAAGUAAACCGGUUCCAACAACAUUCGAAUUUAAAGACAAAGUAAAUUCUUUAUUCCCGAAUGAACAAUAAUAUCCUGAUUUGUCCAAAUAAGAAAUAGAGAUCAAAUUCCGUCUAAAUGACGGUACAACAAAAGUGUCUUUUAAAUCCAAAUAAUGACCGGAACUUAAUAAUAAUCUAAAUUUUCCUAUGGCUUCAACUUCUACCUUCUUCCCAUCUCCUACAUAGAUCCAUCUUUCAGUAUCACUAGGCUUUCGGAAGUUCAGGCAACCCUGCAUUGAAACACUGAUGUUAGUAGUUGCACCAGAGUCUAACCACCAAGUGUUUCUAGGUACUGAAGCUAAAUUAACCUCAGAACAGACCAAAGACAGAAUCAUACCUUUCUUAACACGCCAAGCGUGAUAUUUGGCACAAUCCUUCUUCACGUGUCCAGAACUCCUGCAGAAGAAGCAGUUGUUAUCCUUAGUCUGCUUCUUUUGUUCUGGACCCUUAGCAGCAGCUUUGUUCUUGGGCUCCUCAAUUCUUUUCCUUUUGCCCUUGUCUUUAGAGAUGCUAGUAAAGUGAGCACUUUCAGUCCUAUCUUGCUUCAGCCUGUCCUCUUCUUGCACACAUAAUGAAAUGAGCUCAUUAAGAGUCCAUUUCUCCUUUUGACAAUUAUAAGUCACCUUAAACUGACUGAAUUGCGAAGGAAGAGACAGCAAUACUAAAUGAAUGAGUAAGUCAUCUGACAACUCAAGCUUUAGACCUUUAAGCUUAGAAGCAAUGUUGGACAUCAUCAUAAUGUGCUCUCUUAUAUUUCCCUUGCCUUGAUACUUCAUGGAAAUUAAAUUCUGAAGCAAAGAACUUGUUUCAGCCUUAUCACUUUUUACAAAGCGUUUUUCCAUCUCAACAAGGAAAUUUUUAGCUGUAUCUAUCUCAUCCGAGACAGCACCUCUAAAGACCUCGGGAAUGCCACGCUUUAUGAUCAUAAGACUUAUGCGAUUUGAGCGAUCCCAUUUCUCAUACUCUAAUUUUUCUUCAGAAGAACUAGAGUCCUUAGGAGUAGAGGGUCGAUCAAUUCUUAAUGCAAGGUCUAGAUCCAUGCAGCCAAGAACAAUCAAAAUGUUCUCUUUCCAUUCCUUAAAAUUUGUCCCAUUAAGGACAGGAAUAGAACUCAAAUUUGCAGAUAUGGAAGCAACCGAUGCUGUAAAUUAAAUAAAGAACGAAACUUAGAAACUCACAUUAUAGGAAAAUAAAUCAGUAAAUAAAUAAAUACAUAUGUUCAAAUCAUGGAAUUUAACCCAUCUCAAGAUACCCAGUGCACCAUUGAUGUCAAGUCUUUGGACAGUAACACCAACUGCUAGUGGUACUCUUGUUGCAACGAUCAAAUAUUGACAAUAAGACAUGUCAAACAAUAAACCUUCCUUUGGGCCGAUUUACUGCUCACAUGUAUACCAAAUAAUUGUCACACAUUUAUCAUCGCAGGUGUACAUGUAAUUCUGCCAAAUGUUAACCUUCCUUUGGGCCGGUCAAUACCCGCAUGAAUAAGCAUAUACACAACCAUUUGAUACUCUUCACGAGCAAUUUAGACAAGAGAGGUCACUUUGGCGACGUCAAGUUUCAAUUAACUCAUUCAAAAAUGUCAAACUUGACUUGAACAUAUAUUUAUUAUAUCCAAAUAAAACAAUAUUUAAAAAAUAUUGUUCACUAAUAUAAACUUUAUUUUAUUAGUAUUAAAAAAAUAUUUAUAUUCAAAUAAAGUUUAUAUUAAUGAAAAAUAAUUUUUUUUUUUGUUUAUACAAAUCAUCGUUAACCUUCAGAGAAAAAGAUAGUCCAACGUUUUGGGGCAUGGCGAUGAGAGCAUAUUGAUAAUUCAAUCGUCAUUUGCCAUAUUAAUACACCCCAAUAUUUUUUUGAUAGGAGCUUUGGAUGAAACGUAAUGCAAUGGAGCUUCGGAAACAAAAAAAAUAUGGAUUCCAUAAUAUAUAUAUCAAAAUUCCCAAAUUACAAACCCUAAUUUUUCAAUCAUGUCAAAAUUCCCAAAUUGAAUCCUAAACAUAGACAAUAACCGAAUUUCAUCAUGAAUUAAACAUGGUAGGAGCUCUGAUACCAAUUGUUAAUAAUCCAUGUCAAUUACAUGAUGAAUAACUAAAGGCGGAAGCGUACCUGUGGGAAUUGCCAUUAAUGAAAUCAUGGGAUGAUGAUGAUAGAGCCAAUGGGUUGGGUGAUCUUCCUCAGCAAAACACCCUGAAGACCUUGCUCUCUGGAUGGGGAUAGAGAGAACCAGAGAGUUUUCUCCUUUAGGGUUUUGAAACUGAAUAGUCUUGUUGUGUUUGCCUUGGGGACCAUUACCCCUAUAUAUAACUAUUUUUAGUUAUAUCACAAAUUGCAGUAUUUCCAAUUCAGCCCCUCAUUAAAUUAGAAACUGCCUGGUAUCUACACUAUUAAUUUUCAUAACCAUUAUGCUCUUUAGCCAUAAACUAUUAUAUUUUAUUUGACCCCUAGUUUAUUGGCUAAUUAUAUAAUGACCCUAACACACUUUAUUAAUUAAUUACAUAUGUGACCCAUAAAUCUUACACAUAUUGCAUUAUUGAUUAGAGGACUUCAAGUGAAUUUUGCCCCAAAAUACUCAAUAGUCAAGUUUGUGGAAGUGCUUUUUAAAAUGAUUUUGCUGUAUGCUAAAUAUUAGGCAUCAUAACAUACAGGGCUUUGAACAUCUCAGAAUUUCAUCUGCAUUUCAUCACGACCAUUAGGGUUGGAAGUGUUUACCGGCUAUUCAUGCCUCUAGACUAUCAGGUGAUUGAGCUAGUGUUAUACUAAUAUGUGGAUAAAACAAAACAGUGAAGGAUUUUCUCAAUGUUUUGCUGGGUGGUUAGCAACAUAGGAAGAUCCUCAAAAAUCAUGUACAUAUUGGUGAGUGGUUUGCAGAAAUUCCACAAUAGAGAGACACCCCCAAUUCUUAUCCGGGCCAUGUUAGCUUCUUAAUUCAUUUACAAUUCUUAUGAUUUCUCUGCAGUAGAAGUGUAGAACACAUGUUCUUAUAUCUACGAUAUAAAACAAAGAAAAAGCAUACAAAAAGAUUCCGAUAAAUUAAACCUUAGGUUGUAUUUGCAACAAUGUAUUCCUAGAGCCGUCCUUCCCUACACCAAUUCAUGGCUCUUGCAAUCUCGCUAGGUAUUCUUAAUUCACAAACGUUUUAGGCUAGAGCUAGUUGGAAAUUUAGUGUAUUUCCUCAACAGCUUGGUAAGUAAAAGGGUAGGAAAAUUAAGUGUUUGUCAUCUCCAUAUGCCUUGUAUCUUAGUUCCAUGUCGAAUAGUUUCUCACUGUUUAUAUUAAAGAACACCACCCAAUGGUUUGUCCCUUUGAUGGAUGGGAUUCCUUUAACUAUGAUGCAUAUUGUGUGGAACUAGAGAAACAUAACUGAGAGGUUAACAUGAAAUCAUUAGUAUAUAAAAAUUUAAAUUUCAAAUGGAUUUUUGUAUUAUUU
rnacentral:lncRNA from 1 species